rnacentral:lncRNA from 1 species
UUUUUUUUUUUUUUAAAGUUUGGCUGUCGGGCUGACUUGCCCGGCAGCUAUUGGAAAUUUUUUAAAAAAGCUACACGUGUCAGUUUAUUUUUUUUUAAUUAAAAACUUAUGCUAUCGGGCUUCAGCCUGCAGCUUAAUUUUUUUUAAAAAAAAUUAAAAACUCAUGUUACCGGGCUUGAAGCCUGAUAGCCUUUGUGGUUAAUUUUUUUUUUUAUAGUUCAAACGUAAGAAAAAGGUCCAGAUAAAUUUGCUAAAUCAAUUAUUUUUAUUUUAUGUUAAACCCUAAAAAAAGUUUUUAGAUAAAAAAAAACCUCAUUCAAUUUAAAAGAAGAUGCAUUUCCCAAAUCUUUGAAAAUUAAUUGUUGAAAUUAUUAUGUAUAAGAUUUGGUUAUAUAUUUUUUAUAAAAUAUAUAGAAAAUUAAUAUUUGCCUAAAUAAAAUAUACAAAUAAAUUAUUAUUUGGCAGUGGGUUGUUAUAAUAAUAAAGGUAAAAAUAAAUAUGAUAGUGGGUAGUUAAGCAUAAAAGUAAUUUUUAAUGUAAACUAUAAUUUUAUAAAUAUAAAAUUAUUGUGCAAUAUAAAAAUGAAAAGGCAAAAAAUAGAAAAGAAGAAAAAUUUGAUAAUGUGAAAUGGUGAAAUGGUGAAAUUUAAAAAUAAUGAUACUUGUUCAAAUAAUAGAAGUUUAAAAUAAUGCUAAAUAGCAUAUUGAAAUGUGAAAACUCAAAGAUCUCAUGUUAAGAAUUCAUGCACAAUAAAUGCACACGCAAAUUAUAGAUUAGACACAAAAUUUUAUCAACAAUUUAUUUUAUCCAAACACAUAUUGAAAUCCUUGAGUUAAAUCGUUCAAGAAUUAAAAGUCUAGCUAGUAGAUUUUCAUGGCACAAAAUGAUAGACUCUGUUACUUUUACUAUUAGAAAAUGUGACAAAUAAAUAAUUUGAUAAUUUACACAACAAAGAUACAUCAAAUAAGUUGAUCCUCAUACGACAAGAUCAGCCAAAGCAAAACUUGCAUUAUUCCAUCUGGAAAAAAAAAAAAAGAAAAGGAAAGGAGCAAGUGAACUCCAUUGACCGAUAGCUUUUUUGGGCUAAUGGUGCAGAUGAACCCCAAUUACGCCAGCAAAAGUUUUUAAUUAAAAAAAGAAAUUUAAGCUGGCUGCGGGCUUACGAAGCUCGGCAGCCUGCAAGUUUUUAAAAAAUAAAAUAAAGAAGUUAAGCUGUUUGUCCAAAAUUCCCAGUAGCUACCGGGUUGGCUAAAAAAAAAAAAAAAAAUUCUCUUGCCUACCGGGCUGACGAGUUUUGUACCACUGCAUUGAUAGAACAACAUUGUUCCGAAUUUUUUUUUUCAACAAUAAUCUAAGCAAUUAGCCUAAUUCGAAAAUCUUCUUGUAAUUGCACCAAAAGUUUAUUAAACCUUACAGAAGCAGCAACCUAAAAGGCUAGCAAGUUAAGCAACAUGUAGCAAUUACAGAUGUUCUGUCACAUAAUCAAUAACACACACACAUAGUUCAAGUCCUGGAAUCGCUGGCGUUCAUGAAGGAGAUGAUUCAGAUUACAGGUUUAUAUUACAGUUUCUUCAUAAUCAACUGAGCACCAUACUGAGGUUGAAGCAGGGUAAGAAACAAGUAUGGGGCAUGCGUAUACAAUGGAGAAAGCACAAAGGAAAAGCGCUGUAAAAUUAAAGCUAAUGCCAUUUUUGCUUCAAGCAGAGCAAAGUUUUGCCCAAUGCAUAUCCGAGGUCCCCCACCAAAUGGCAGAAAACACGGCUGGCCCUUAGUAGCCUUUGCAACUCCCUCGCUAAAUCUCUCUGGGUUGAAUUCCUUUGCAUCAUCACCCCAUAAACUUGGAUCAUGAUGUAGCAAGAUUGAAGGCAUCAAGACAAUCAUUCCAGCAGGUGGAGACAGUUCCCCUAAUUUAGUGUCUUCGUUAACCUCCGGGAAAUCAUAACUCCUGGUGUAUAUAGUCUUGGAACCUCAUUAAGGAUCAUAGUCACCUGUAAAAGAAGAAUUACAAAUCGAUGCUUAAAUGGAGUGUGAACUUCGUUCCAAGAGAAGAAAAUUGUAAGAUAAGUAUCCAGACAAUGUCAACUAAUAGCUGUUGCCUACUAGAAAGCAGAAACAUUACACUACACUCGGAUAUCGUUGUGCUUCAGGUAAUGGCAAAAGUAAAACAUGUCCUGAGUGAAUGGAAUGUUAAGCUAUGAUAUUCCUUAUGAAGUCUUCUGCAUCCGAACCCACGAAACCAAUUAUUCAUCAAAAGAGAACCUAAAAAACAAGUCUGAAAUGUGGCCAACAUUCAUGAUAUUCGAGUUUAGUCACUGCAGAUUGGUGAUACAAAACUGAAAUUCUUGAAUAAUAUCAAACUAUUCUGUCAUCAGAGCUUGUCCUCUUGAUAAAUUGAAGCUACUUACAAUUUUCAGCCAAUUUAAAUCUUCAAAAUCCGGUAUAUUGUUGCCAAAGACCUGAAGAACCUCAUCCCUAGCACGAGCUUGCCAGUCUGAAUGCUUGCUCAACAAAAUUAGCGUCCACACAAGCAAGAUUGCAGUUGUCUCAUGUCCAGCAAAAAAGAAUAGCUUGCACUCCUGAAUGACCCCUUCAGAAGUCAUCCCACACCUUUCAUUCCCAUGUUAUUGGAACUCCUUGAAGUUGGGUUCUAGAAGUAAACCCAACAAGUCACUAUGAAAAUUUUUUUCAUAUUUUUUGUUUCUUUUAUGGAAUAUCGAGUAAUGUGAUAGGACGAUUUUCUGCAGCAAAUCAGCCUUGGAUUGAUCUCUUUAUAGAUUAAGAGAUGUCACAUGUUGGUUAUAAUCAUCCAAGUGAUGACCUUUCAUUACUAAAGUUGUUACUUCUAUUCUAAUAGUACUUGAAUGAUUAAUUGUAGUACUUCACACUUGAAUGAACAGCCACAAAUUUUGUUAUUUUGUGAACCUUGAAACCUUUCAUCUUUUGAAAAUCUCCAACAAAUUCAUGGUGAUUAAAAGUUUUGCAAAUAAAGCCAACUCAACUGAGAUAAUUAGAUUCUCUGUAGUUUAAUUUCUUCAACAAAUGUUUGACCAGGAAGAAAAAAUGGUGAGUAUAGCCUUAAAACCUCAUGCAAGAUCAUUGUGAUAUGUGAGAAAUGGAAGGAGACUACUUAAGACAAUUUAUUGGCAUAUGAGAAGCUGCAACCUAUCAUGAGUUGACUUAUAAUUUUUUAGGUUAAAAGUUCUUUUACGUACAAUAUGCUAUGGAUUUUGGUAUAUAAUUGACAUACAAUCUUUUAGGUUAUACAGACCAUCAAAUUGUGAUAUUUUUGGUCCCAGCAAUGUGUUGCAAAAUCUAUUCUCCAGCACGUUCUCGCUAGUCUGGGCAGAUGCUGAAUACAACAGCUUACACUCUUCAAUAAUUUCUCUUGUAAUCGCACAGAAUUUCGUCUUGCCUAAGCUGCAUUGGAGAUCCACUUACCACGAAGAAAUAUUUUUGAAUACUAGCUAAUAAGAUUUACAGACUCUACUGAUUAAUGUUUGAGAACAGCUGUUAAAUGAUUUUAAGCCAUGACAAGCCAUUUGUUUUCUCCAUUAUCAAAGAAAAAGGAAAGAUCUCUUGCCAAAUUAAACGAGUAGAUGUAGUAUUUCUCUCUUAAUUCGCCGUGAGAAAUACAUUACGUGAAUCUGUACUGCUAUAUUCAUACAGAUCCAUUGACAUACCAAACUGGGCGGGACUUAAACUAGUUUACAAGCAAAGUUAAGCAUAGAAGAUGGUGCUUUAUUUCGUUAAAAGAUAAUCUGCUGCCACACGGGCGAGCAAGUCAUACAUAUGAAACAAAAACUAUAUCUUCUGCAAAAUCAAGUGAGCUCCAUACUGGGGUUGAACUAGUGCUGUAGCUGUUCCAGGAGCAUGAGUAUAAGAUGGUGAGAGUUCCAAGGAGAAGCGUUGCAGAAUCAUAGACAUUGCCAAUUUCGCUUCCAACAUGGCAAAAUUUUGUCCAAUGCAAAUGCGAGGUCCCCAGCCAAAUGGAAAGUAUGCAACGUGGCCCUUUGUUGCAUGUGAUGCUCCUUCAGCGAACCUCUCAGGCUUGAAUUCCUUCACAUCCUCGCCCCAUAUAUCAGGGUCAUGAUGCAUCAGCAAUAUUGGUAAGGUGAGUUGCACUCCAGCCGGGAGAGUUAAAUUUCCUAAUUUAGUUUCUUCAAUAGUUCUUCGACUCAUUGUAGCCAAUGGUGGCCACAACCUUAAAACCUCAUGCAAGAUCAUGGUGACCUAUGACAAGGGGACCAAACAAAAAAAAAAAAAAGUGUGAGAGUAAUUAGAUGUCUAUGCAGACGAGAAGCUUCAAAAAACUUCGUUAAUUAGUAUGCCUCUCCUGCUAUUAGUGCAAUUUUUCAAAUCAAUGAAAUGAUCAUUGCUAAUUUUUUAUGUUUUUCAAAGAAAAAGAUUGGCUUACAAUUUUGAGGUGAUUUAGCCCAUCAAAGUCCGGAUCCUUAGUUCCAAAUUGUUGCAAGACCUCCUCUCUAGCACGUGCCUGCCAUUCGGGGUACCUGCACAGUAAGACCAUUGUCCAGACAAGAAAUGCAGAAGUAGUCUCCUGGCCAGCAAAAUAGAACAGCUUGCACUCAUCAACAAUUUCUUCGGUAGUCAUACCAAAGUCCUUGUUUCCAUGCUUCUCGAUUUCUUGAGAAUUGGAUUGAAGCAUUAAUCCCAACAAGUCAUCAGAGCCGGCUUCUCCUGCUCUCAUUGCCUUUCUUCUUGUGUUGAUCAUUUCCCUAACUGAACCAUUAACUUCUAUGGCAAUCUGUUUCAUUCUUCUGUUCCUCUUGGUUGGCAAGAACCUAAUAAAAGAUCAUAGUUUAGCAAAAAAACAAAAGCAAGAACAAACUAUGUUUGCAAUAAUGUACAUCCUGGGAUGUUGAUUUCUAGGAGAACCAUUGAUUUCUAGGAGUCACAAUUUUCUACAGCACUCAAGAAUUCAUGAUCAAUCUACCUAAAUCCUGGGAUGUUGAUGUACACCGACCGUGCUGCCUCCAUCACAUCCUCAGUUUGCUCUCUCUGGAGCUCAAAGAUCCUUCUUCCUUCUUCAUAGUUGCUGCCAAAUGCUGUACGAGAAAUUGCAUCGCUGGUAAGAGCUUUAAGAUUGGGCCAAACAUCCACUUCAGCCAACCCCUUUGGUGAAACAACAUUCUCCCAUUUCGUCACCAUCUCACUUGCACUUUUAUAAAAGGCUGGAAGCAUAAGCUAUUUAUCCAUAAAAGAAAAGAAAAUCAGUGAAAGAAACUACUUCAUAUUGAAGGCUACUUAGUAAAUAAAUGAUGCAAUUUACUAAGGACUGUCCAAUGCAGAGAGUGUUUUCAAUUUUAGGAUAUAAUAAAUGUGUGUGUGUCAAUAAAUGAGAAUUUGAAACCCAUAAAAUGAUUAAAUUAGAGAGAAGAGAACCUUCAAUUUCUCAACGUGGAAAGCUGGGUUGAGGAGCUUUCUCUGUUUGGCCCAUUUUUCUCCCUCAUAGCUCACUAGUCCUUGAGCCACAAGUCUGCCGAGUGGAUUAACAGGGAGCUUCCAGAAAUCAUCAAUCUUUUGUGUAACUGCCUUUAUUAGAUUAGGGUCCAUGAUCACCACGGCAGGUGUCGGCCCAAACCAUAAAUAUGUAUUUUUACCUGGAAGUCAGAGCCGCUUCGAUUAGGGGCCGAAAACUAGAAAGUAUAAAUAGUCAAAUGCCUUCCACUCAGAAAGGAUAAUAAAAUCAAGUGUCUCAAAAAAUAAAAAUACAAGGGCAAAAUACUAAAAUAAUUCAAAUUCUUCAACAAAAAUUUUUUUUUUUGCAUCAAUCAACCUAAUAAACUAUUUAAAGUGAUUCAAUCAGCUCAUUUCCAUCACAUUCCAUCAAAAUCUUCGAUUAAGUUAACUAUUCAGAAUGUCAAGUACGAGCAAUUGGUAGGGAUAAAAUUGACAUUUCUUCUCAUCCACCUCCCUAAUCGACUAAAAUUCUUCAUUCUCAUCAACUUAACUCCCAAAACCUUGAGAAUUUGGUGGAGUGCAAUUUCAACUCUUUUAAGGUUCUUUUAAGGUUCUUGAGAAUUUGAUCGACAGAUUUGUUUUUUGUUCCUGCCAAAUUGCACACAUCCAUUAGCUUUACGGGACAUGUUGACGGAUCGAAAAAAGAAUUGAAAAAAGAUUCACAAAGAUAGUAAAACAAACAAACCACAAAUAGAAAUUAAAAGAAAACAAGAAAGGAAACUUGAAGUCUAAAGCUUAUUGGGAGCAUAGAUUUUUGUCGGAACUUUAAUCCUUGUUUUGUUUAUUUGAUCAUUUGAUUGCUUAUUUAAUCUGAUCAUAAUUGAUUUCAAAUUCAAGAUUCAAUCUUCAUUGUCAAAUGACAUGCAUAAUUACUGAUAAUCAAUUAAUUAUUAGGACGAAAUAAUAAAUAUCAGCUGUAUUGAGGCCCUUUAUGACAAUUCCAAGUUGUAAAACAAUAACAAGCGGAAAAAAAAAAUACAAAACGACCAAGAAAAACGACCAUCCUAAAAUACAAAAGCUGAAAGGGAAUUCAUACACCCUAAUACUAUAAUAUUACUCGUAUUUAAGUACGAAAUACAUCAGUCUGAAAAAUCAAUUGUCCGUACAGGUUGGAGACAUUAGUAUAUCUCAUUUACUAUUUUCCCUUUUUUUUUUCUCUUUUUUUGGGUAAGUAUCUUAGUCACUAUUUUUCAACAUCGAAAAGAAAAAGAGUAAAAGAAAAGGAGGUAAAUGAUAUUCUAUCUAACCAAAAGCAGAAAAAAGGGAAAAAAAAUGGAGAUCAUACGAGGGACAAAAGAGGUUACGAGGCAAAGAGAUGGAAGCAGAGUUGAUGAGAACAAUAAAUACUACCAUAUUUCUUAACGGCUCCAAGAUAUUGAGGAAUAACUCUUGGUACGAUGUCGUCGGAGAGAUUAAGAUUCUUGGAUUGGGCUUCUGUGUACAGGGUGGACAUCUCUUUGAAGUCUCCAUGGAGCAGCUUGUAAGGGUUUCCCCGGAAACCUUGCUCUUUCAGACGUUUCUCCAGCUUCUUCGGCCUAAACCAUACCCAGUUCAAAGCUUUCCAUGAUACUGCUACUACCAGAAGAAGAAGAAGACAAGAAGAAUACACAGUAAACAUUGAUACACCAUAGGGGGUUUCCAUGUUGUGUUUUUGUUUUGUUGGUUUUCUUGUGAGAUUUCUACCUUUGUUGCGUGCAAAUUUAUAUUCAAGUUGGGGCGAUGAUAACCUUUGGUUUUGUGCGUCUGCACCGCCAUCCGUUUAUUACUUGGAGAACAGUAGGAACUUUUAGCUCAGCACAGCAUGAUUGGCUUGGUACACGAGAAUUUGGAGCCUAUUUCUAUAUAUUUCUCGGAUUUUAGAGCAAAGUUUUUUUUUUUGGGUGCAAUUGAGGUCCUCCAAGCCAAUUUAAUUUAACUGGACCUUUAAGGCAAUUUAAUUAGAACAAUUUUGUCACAGAAUUAGAAGGACAGUCGAACAUUGUAUAAACCCUAUCGGAAAAACAAACAUAGAGUGGAAGUUUUAAUUAAAGGAUAAUUUUUUAUGUGCUUUAAAAUGUUAAACAGUUAUUUUUCUUUGGUAAGUAAAUUUCUAAACAAUUAUUUUUGUACAGAAACACUAAUUUUGCUAACCUUAAAACGUUAUAUGCGUUCAAAUCUCUCCUCUCCUUUCUUAUUUUUUAAAUACCAUCCCUUCCUUAUUAAUUUUUUUUUAUUUUUAAAAAUGAUGCAUGUGUGAACAUAGAGGAGGUGACAUUCAAAGCAAAUAUAGAAAACACUCUCAAAUGUGGAUAAUUCUCAAGUACACUAAACAUGGAAAAUUUUAUGAACAUGGCUGUAUUGAGUGUAAAAAUGAGGUGGAACUGAAUAAAAUUCAUGUGGCAUUUCUGUGAGUUUUAGGUGGAAAUCAUAAGUUAUGAUUCGAUUAAAUAAGACCAAACUUCAAUUAAGCAAUGCUAUUGCGGUGUAGUAUCGUGUAUUGAUUCAACCUUCAUAACUUACUCGUAAUCAUUUCAUAAAAAAAAUAAGAUGGGGCAACAAAAUUAGGGAAAGAAUAAAAUUUCGUGUUGAAUAUCCAAAUCUUGUACUGUAGAACAAUUUCGAGCUUUUUGGUACGUGUAACAUAAAUAUAGUAGUGUGACAGCUAAAGUAGACAGAGACAGCUUAGGAAACUAGCAGGGUCAGAGGAUUUAGAAGGACAUAAAAGACUAGAACUCAAUUUCAACAAAUUGUUUAAGAUUGUACUAGCAAGAACCAAGCUGUGUCAGCAGUUAUUGAAGGCGAGUCACAAUGAAAGCAACUAUUGAAAGUGAAAAAUGAAUUUGCAAAAAAAUUAUCUAAGAGGUUGAAAGAGUAGAACUUGACGUACAUUCAACAGUUAUAAUUGUUCAAAAGUCAUGAUGCAUUAAUUAGCGGUGACACUGCGAUUAAUCAUUGGGGGUAGUCUGGUGGUUAGGGGAAGAUUUAUAGAGUCUCUCACUGUUAGAUUUAGGAAUUGAAUUGUGUGGCUGAAAAUUUCUCAUAUGCUUGAACAUGUUAGGGGGAAGAAAUUGCACUUAGAACAUGUAAGUAUUAUAUCUCAAAAUCAACACAAAAAAGUGAAAAUCAUGAAUUCGCUAAAGAAAGAUAUGGAAUUUGCAAAAUCGAAUAUUUUAGACGAAAUCAAUCUUAAGUACAGAGUUAGCAUAAAUUUCAACAAUCCUCUGAUUUUAAUGCCUAAAUAUUCAAUUAUUACAUGGGAAAAAUCCGGAACAUGGAAUGAGUCAAACUAUGUGUUUGAAUUGGAGAUGAUUUGAGAUAAUUUUUCAAAAAAAAUAUUGUAUCAUACACUAUUUUUUGAUAUGAUGUAUAUAAAGUAAAAAAAUAAUUAAAAAAUAUGUUAAUAAUGAAAAUAAAUAAAUUUCAGUGAACAAAGCACCGUCCAAACAAACACACAAACUAGAUGACCUAUGCCAUGACGAUGGCAGACAAUCUUUCUCGAGGAAAAAUAUGACCAAGCUUUGUUUUCUUUCCAAGUAUGUUAAAUUGAUCCUUAAAUAUAUCUAUGCCCUUUAUGUUUUGAGCACUUUAAUCCAAACUGUCUUUUCCUCUUGUCUUGGGAGCUCCGCUGAAAUAUGAUAUUUGUGAGGUGAAAAAUAAAUUAAUAAAUUAAAACCAGAAGUCAUGAAGUCAACGUACAGAAUGGGAUAAAUUAUGGUAAAUUACAAUAUGAGUCCGUUGUUCUAAAAUUUUAUCACACAAUCCCCCUAUUAUUCCACAAUAUCCAAUUGAUGCCCAGUGACUUUGUGUAAAAUUCAGAUUAGCCGAAAAGCAAGACCUGAUAAAUUACAAAGGAAUGUGCAUAGUUGUUUUAAAUUUGAAUACCUCAUUAGUCGUCUCAAUGGUUUAUUAUUUUUUUUAAAAAAAUAAAUCUGAAGAUUAAAGCUUCUAGGGAGAGUUAGAUGUCUUUAAAUGGAAAGUACGUGUUGAAAGACAAAAGGGAGUGCUGGAGUACUGGCAAAUGGCAACAAAAUAGGGAACAAAUCAAAAUGAAUUGUUAUUCAAGAAUCAUAGAGAUUUCCAAAAACAAAAUUUUUUUUUUUUUAGAGCAGCAAAUUAAUUAAGUUGUUACAUGGUAGUCCUUUUUAAGUAUAGAGCAAAACUAUGGCCCUUUGAGUAGAAUGGUUUUUACCAAUUUGGAUAAACUUUGCAAUUGCUAUGCUUAAUUUUGUUGUCGAUUUCGUGUGACUAUUUAAAAUUGGCAUGCCAUAAAGGCCGAAGAGUGGGAAUUGCUGUAUUAAAAUUCUAUAGUUUCGAUUAAACUUCGUAUUAUCGUCUUAAAGUAGAGAAAAUGAGCAUAUCACUAACUGCAAAAUGAGGUUAACAUAUUCAUUCCUUUUUUUUUUCAUAAUAGGGGAGGUAUGUGGGUUUAAGAAGUAGCGAGGGAAAAAGGGAGAUUAAAACCUAAAAACUCUAUAUUUAGGGUCUCAACCCUCAAAUUUAGCCACUAAGCCAAUGUCUUCUUGGCGCAUAUUCAUUUCAUUUGAUGAUUCUAAGUGGCCUUGCAGUGGAUAGUUAAUCAAAGCCGGACUAUGACCUAUAACCCUCAUUUGGGAAAAAAUUUAGCUUUAAUUAUUUCAUGUAUUCAAAAUCGCAUUCAAGGUUGCAAUCAAAUUGACAUCAUAGUUCCAUCUAGGUUACGAUGUAGCAAUUGCCAGUUGAAUCAUAGGCAUAUUUUAUAUUUACGAUAUCGAUUGUUAUGAAAAAAAAGUCAGAAUCGGCUUUGAAAUUCAUUCUUGAUUGUUUCUAGCAGAAAAAAGAAGAAUGACAAAAUAUUUUGGACCCAUAUUAGAGCACAUUUAUGUCGAGUAAUUACAUAGUAUUGCUAGCCAAGAAAAAUCAAAUGAACAUUUAAAACGCUACGUUAACUAACUUGUCUUUUAUUCCCCCACUAUUUUGUUCUCUUAAAUUGAAAUUUCAACAAUCAUUAUAACAUUUUAAACGAUAAUAACAAUAUAUAUAUAUAUAUAUAUAUAGCUAAUCAUAUUUUUUACACAUUUCCUCAGAGUUGCAUUAUGCAAAGGGUCAAACCACAAUAUUCUAAAAGUUUUGGUCUUAAAAAUAAAAGUCAUUCUCCUUUUAUUUGACUAAUUCUUCCUGCUGGCCUGCUUCUCUUCAGCCUAAAAUUGCUCCCCACUUGUUCGUAUUCUUCGUGUUCUAUUCCGCGACAUUUUCCAUUUCCUACAUUGUUAAACCGUGGAACGAAUUGCAAGCCUGCAAUGUUGAAGGCAAAUUAAACAAAGAGCUCUUAAACAACUUCAUUUUAGAUCUAAGAGAAAAUAUCAAUCUUCACAACUUCGUAGCAAAUUAAACAAAGACUGAUAACAAGAUUUCUUGUUUUACAGUUUCUUUAAGAUCAACUAAGCUCCAUACUGGGGUUGAAGAGUGAGCACAACUUGAGGAGCAUGUGCAUAACUCGGCGAAAGCUCCCAAGAAAAGCGCCGUAAGAUCAAAGCCAGCGCCAUCUUUGCUUCCAGCGUAGCAAAAUUUUGCCCAAUGCAAGUUCGAGGUCCCCAACCAAAUGGAGAACCUCAUCUAAUACCGGCUUCAUUGUUGUCAAAAACCUGUAGAACCUCAUCUCUGGCACGAGCCUGCCAAUCAAAAUGUUGACUCAAUAAAAUUAAUGUCCAGACGAGCAAUCCUGAGGUUGUCUCUUGUCCAGCCAAAUAGAAUAGCUUGCACUCUUCGAUGACUUCUUCAAGGCUCAUGCCGUUCUUAUUUCCACGUUGUCGGAUCUCAUUCAAAUUGGAUUCCAACAAAAUACCCAACAAGUCAUCACUUGUAGCUUCACCUGUUUGAAUUUCCUUCAGCCUUUCGUUGAUAAUGCCCAUAACUAUUGAGUUUACUUCCUUGAAAAUCUUCUGCAUUCUUUUGCUUCUUUUUGUUGGCACAAAACUGUAACGUGCCUCCACCCUGGAAGGUAAAUGGAUUGCAUAACUUGCUCAAAAUACAAAGCCUGUUCUCUUUGGAGUUCAAAAAUCCUUCGCCCUUUUUCAUAGUUGCUACCAAAAGCUGUUCCGGAAAUUACAUCACCAGUAAAUGUUUGAAGCUAAGGCCACACGUCUAAUUCAAAAGAUCCUUCUGCGGGGGCAAGGUCCUCCUAUUUGCUUAACAUCUCAUUACAACUCAGAUAAAAUGCUGGCACCGUGUACUAUUGUGAAGCAUCAAAAGUGAGAACGGAAAUAUUAAUCAGUCAAAUUUUAGAAUUGGAAAGGCUGGAUUUGGUUCUAUAUCUGAACUAGAUUGGAACCAUAACUACAUUUGUAUGAUGCAAAUACCAAACACUAGCCAGUCCCAUGUCUGAUAAAUAACAAGAAACAGCCAAAAGCAUGUAAGAUAUUGAAACAACACCAAAUUUCAGGAGAAAAAGCAAGAAACAACCUUCAAUUUCUCUACAUGAAAUGCAGGAUUCAAUAAUCUUCUGUGUUUGGCCCAUUUUUCUGUAUCCAGGCUAGCAAGUCCUAGUGCUAGAAGUUUACUGAUUGGAUUUGCCCGAGGCUUCUGAUAAGUAAAAUUUUUUGUGAAGACCUCCUUCACUUGUUCAGGAUCCAAGAUAACCAUUGCCGGCCUUGGUCCAAGCCAAAAAAAGCUAUUUUUACCUACAAAAUAAUUUUUGAUAAGCAACUUAUCCACUCUAAAAUAAAAAGAUUGGGUCAACCAUAUAUGAAAUGCAUGAUUGCUGAAAAACACAGCAAACCAAAUAGUCUUCAGGCAAAUUUGGAGAACAAACCUUUAUGUUGCAUUGUUUCAUUGAUGAAGGGCACGAAUCUGGGAAAGAUAUCAUCUGUUAAAGAAAUUGGUUUGGACUUAGCCUCCUCAAGCAUCCUUCCCAUGUCUCUGGUGUCUCCAAACAAGAACCUGUAAGAGUUUCCCUGUAGACCUUGCCGCCUGAGGCGUUUCUCCAUCUUCUUUGGUGUGAUCCAAGCCCAAUUCAAGAAUCUCCAUGCCCCGAUGAGAAGAACUAUAACUGACGAAACUCCAAUCAAGCUAUAGAAAAAGUCCAUUUUCUCUGAUGCGCUUCCACUCCUUCAGUCAAACUUUCUGCUGGCAGGGGGAACUUGCGAAGCGGUUAGUUAUUAAGGAGGGAGAACCUCAACUUUGGGACACAUAAUUCUGAAAUCUAUGCAUAUCCAUCUGUAAAAUCAGCAAAGACAAAGUAGCUUGAUGGUAUGUUCUAUGUUUACGGCAUCUGCUUAAAUGGAGAUGCUCUGAGGCUUCAACACUCGCCUAUAAAGGACAUUUGAGCCUUUAAUAUUCUUGUUUAUGGUAAAAUGAUUUUUCUACUCGUUCACUUAAAUUACACUUAAUUUACUGUAUGAACACACAUAAUACAAUUAUUAUAUCCUCUGUAUUUAAACGCUUUCCUAGUAACUACACUUUUAAAAAAAAAAUAAAAAUUAGCACUCUUGAGGCCCCCCUAACAGAGGGGACGAUAAAGGAGAACAAAUCAACAAAGCUCGAUUAUCCUGCAAGCCUCGCAAAUCAUCAUCAGAAGUCUUUUUCUAUUUGCCUUCUAGAAAAGAGUCAGUUCAAUAAAUAGAACUUGAGAAUUUGACUUUUGAUUUACCGUAAAAAAAAAAGAAGAAGAAGAAGACUAUGACCGGCUAACUCCACGUAUAAAUGGCUAUUGUUAGAAUAGCUACUCUUUGAGCAGUCAUCCAUGGCUAUUAUUAAUGUGCUACUCCUGAAUGACCUCUUCAGAAGUCAUCCCAAACCUUUCAUUCCCAUGUUCUUGGAUCUCCUUGAAGUUGGGUUCUAGAAGUAAACGCAACAAGUCACUAUGAAAAUUUUCAUCAUAUUUUUUGUUUCUUUUACGGAAUAUCUAGUAAUGUGAUAGGACGAUUUUCUGCAGCAAAUCAGCCUUGGAUUGAUCUCUUUAUACAUUAAGAGAUGUCACAUGUUGGUUAUAAUCAUCCAAGUGAUGACCUCUCAUUACUAAAGUAGUUACUUCUAUUCUAAUAGUACUUGAAUGAUUAAUUGUAGUACUUCACACUUGAAUGAACAGCCACAAAUUUUGUUAUUUGAUAGUGAUAUAAUUAUGUGUUUUAUUUAUUGGUAUUUGGUCUUAAUUUUGGUUACUUAUUGUGCAAGACACUGAAUUUCUGCCCAGAUUUGAUAUUUGUGUUAUUGACAGACGAGUGGUGUUAAAAGUGACAAGAAGAGAUAAAUUCCAGAAGACUAGGGUCUUGUUUGGAUUGCCGUUUUCCGUCGAAAAAUUACGUCGUUUUCUGUGAUCACAUUUUCUUAUUAUCUUUUUCCUUCACAUAUAUCAAAUCGCUACAAUAAUUUUUUCAUGAAAAAUGAUGAAAAAUAUAAUCCAAACGGGGCUAGGCAUUCUACAGCGCCUUGAAGAUAAAGUAGCGAGUUGCCAGUUGUUUUUUUACUAGUAUUUUUUUUUAAUUUUUUUUAUAAUUAAAAAAUUGAUGUGGUAAGCGACAGGAAUCAGCCCGAAUUGAAUCAUUGAUAUGACAAAACCAUUUGCUCUGUACCAAGUUUUGUCAUUUUGUCAGUCUACAAAAACCGCUUGGCCAGCGGUCAAAUUGGCGUUAUUUUUCCUGCAGAUUGCAUUUUCUAGAAUUUAUUUGUAAAAAAGUUACUAUGACAAUUUAAUGAAUGUAAGAAAAAAAAAUGUGAUAUUUUUUUGUUCCAGCAAUGCAUCGCAAAAUCUCUUCUGUAGCACGUUCUUGCUGAAUAAGACCGUUGUCCAAACAAUUCAUUUAAUUUCAUCAUGUCUAAUUAAGUUCCAUUGGAGAUCGACUUACCACUAAGAAAUACUUUUUAAAUACUAGCUAAUAAAAUUUAUAGAGUCUACAAAUUAAUAAUGUUUGAGAACAGCUGUUAAAUGAUUUUUAAUUAAGCCAUUUGUUUUCUCGAUUAUCAAAGAAAAAGGAAAGAUAUCCUGCAAAAUAAGUAAAACCAGUAGAUGUAAUAUUAUUAUUUCUCUCUUAAUUCGCCAUGAAAAAUACAUGCAUUACGUGAAUCUGUCUGUACUGCUGUAUAUAUUCAAACAGAUCCAUUGACAUAUCAUAUUGGGCGAGACUUAAACUAAGUUUACAAGCAUAGAAGGUGCUUUAUUUCCUUCAAAGAUAAUCUGCUGCCACAGGGGCUAGCAAGUCAAACUAUCAUAUCUUCUGCAAAAUCAAGUGAGCUCCAUGCUGGGGUUGAACUAGUGCUAAUAAGGCUGUUCGAGGAGCAUGAGUAUAAGAUGGCGAGAGUUCAAAGGAGAAGCGUUGCAGAAUCAUAGACAUUGCCAGUUUUGCUUGCAACAUGGCAAAAUUUUGUCCAAUGCAAGUGCGAGGUCCCCAGCCAAAUGGAAAGUAUGCAAGUGCCUGGCCCUUUGUUGCAUGUGAUACUCCUUCAGCAAACCUCUCAGGCUUGAAUUCCUUCACGUCCUCGCCCCACAUAUCAGGGUCAUGAUGCAUCAGCAAUAUUGGUAAGGUGAGUUGCACUCCAGCCGGGAGAGUUAAAUUUCCUAAUUUAGUUUCUUCAAUAGUUCUUCGACUCAUUGUAGCCAAUGGUGGCCACAACCUUAAAACCUCAUGCAAGAUCAUGGUGACCUAUGACAAGGGGACCAAACAAAAAAAAAAAAAAAGUGUGAGAGUAAUUAGAUGUCUAUGCAGACGAGAAGCUUCAAAAAACUUCGUUAAUUAGUAUGCCUCUCCUGCUAUUAGUGCAAUUUUUCAAAUCAAUGAAAUGAUCAUUGCUAAUUUUUUAUGUUUUUCAAAGAAAAAGAUUGGCUUACAAUUUUGAGGUGAUUUAGCCCAUCAAAGUCCGGAUCCUUAGUUCCAAAUUGUUGCAAGACCUCCUCUCUAGCACGUGCCUGCCAUUCGGGGUACCUGCACAGUAAGACCAUUGUCCAGACAAGAAAUGCAGAAGUAGUCUCCUGGCCAGCAAAAUAGAACAGCUUGCACUCAUCAACAAUUUCUUCGGUAGUCAUACCAAAGUCCUUGUUUCCAUGCUUCUCGAUUUCUUGAGAAUUGGAUUGAAGCAUUAAUCCCAACAAGUCAUCAGAGCCGGCUUCUCCUGCUCUCAUUGCCUUUCUUCUUGUGUUGAUCAUUUCCCUAACUGAACCAUUAACUUCUAUGGCAAUCUGUUUCAUUCUUCUGUUCCUCUUGGUUGGCAAGAACCUAAUAAAAGAUCAUAGUUUAGCAAAAAAACAAAAGCAAGAACAAACUAUGUUUGCAAUAAUGUACAUCCUGGGAUGUUGAUUUCUAGGAGAACCAUUGAUUUCUAGGAGUCACAAUUUUCUACAGCACUCAAGAAUUCAUGAUCAAUCUACCUAAAUCCUGGGAUGUUGAUGUACACCGACCGUGCUGCCUCCAUCACAUCCUCAGUUUGCUCUCUCUGGAGCUCAAAGAUCCUUCUUCCUUCUUCAUAGUUGCUGCCAAAUGCUGUACGAGAAAUUGCAUCGCUGGUAAGAGCUUUAAGAUUGGGCCAAACAUCCACUUCAGCCAACCCCUUUGGUGAAACAACAUUCUCCCAUUUCGUCACCAUCUCACUUGCACUUUUAUAAAAGGCUGGAAGCAUAAGCUAUUUAUCCAUAAAAGAAAAGAAAAUCAGUGAAAGAAACUACUUCAUAUUGAAGGCUACUUAGUAAAUAAAUGAUGCAAUUUACUAAGGACUGUCCAAUGCAGAGAGUGUUUUCAAUUUUAGGAUAUAAUAAAUGUGUGUGUGUGAAUUUAUAUGAUAAUUUUACUAUAAUUUACUCGCACUAAUGAGUAUUUACAGGUCAUCCGUUAAAAAAAAAAGAUUAAUCUUUCUACAGUCUACACUACCAGUAUAUACACCGACGGAAUUGGAUGAAUACCACAUCAUCUGAAUUUGAAACCCAUAAAAUGAUUAAAUUAGAGAGAAGAGAACCUUCAAUUUCUCAACGUGGAAAGCUGGGUUGAGGAGCUUUCUCUGUUUGGCCCAUUUUUCUCCCUCAUAGCUCACUAGUCCUUGAGCCACAAGUCUGCCGAGUGGAUUAACAGGGAGCUUCCAGAAAUCAUCAAUCUUUUGUGUAACUGCCUUUAUUAGAUUAGGGUCCAUGAUCACCACGGCAGGUGUCGGCCCAAACCAUAAAUAUGUAUUUUUACCUGGAAGUCAGAGCCGCUUCGAUUAGGGGCCGAAAACUAGAAAGUAUAAAUAGUCAAAUGCCUUCCACUCAGAAAGGAUAAUAAAAUCAAGUGUCUCAAAAAAUAAAAAUACAAGGGCAAAAUACUAAAAUAAUUCAAAUUCUUCAACAAAAAUUUUUUUUUUUGCAUCAAUCAACCUAAUAAACUAUUUAAAGUGAUUCAAUCAGCUCAUUUCCAUCACAUUCCAUCAAAAUCUUCGAUUAAGUUAACUAUUCAGAAUGUCAAGUACGAGCAAUUGGUAGGGAUAAAAUUGACAUUUCUUCUCAUCCACCUCCCUAAUCGACUAAAAUUCUUCAUUCUCAUCAACUUAACUCCCAAAACCUUGAGAAUUUGGUGGAGUGCAAUUUCAACUCUUUUAAGGUUCUUUUAAGGUUCUUGAGAAUUUGAUCGACAGAUUUGUUUUUUGUUCCUGCCAAAUUGCACACAUCCAUUAGCUUUACGGGACAUGUUGACGGAUCGAAAAAAGAAUUGAAAAAAGAUUCACAAAGAUAGUAAAACAAACAAACCACAAAUAGAAAUUAAAAGAAAACAAGAAAGGAAACUUGAAGUCUAAAGCUUAUUGGGAGCAUAGAUUUUUGUCGGAACUUUAAUCCUUGUUUUGUUUAUUUGAUCAUUUGAUUGCUUAUUUAAUCUGAUCAUAAUUGAUUUCAAAUUCAAGAUUCAAUCUUCAUUGUCAAAUGACAUGCAUAAUUACUGAUAAUCAAUUAAUUAUUAGGACGAAAUAAUAAAUAUCAGCUGUAUUGAGGCCCUUUAUGACAAUUCCAAGUUGUAAAACAAUAACAAGCGGAAAAAAAAAAUACAAAACGACCAAGAAAAACGACCAUCCUAAAAUACAAAAGCUGAAAGGGAAUUCAUACACCCUAAUACUAUAAUAUUACUCGUAUUUAAGUACGAAAUACAUCAGUCUGAAAAAUCAAUUGUCCGUACAGGUUGGAGACAUUAGUAUAUCUCAUUUACUAUUUUCCCUUUUUUUUCUCUUUUUUUGGGUAAGUAUCUUAGUCACUAUUUUUCAACAUCGAAAAGAAAAAGAGUAAAAGAAAAGGAGGUAAAUGAUAUUCUAUCUAACCAAAAGCAGAAAAAAGGGGAAAAAAAUGGAGAUCAUACGAGGGAUAAAAGAGGUUACGAGGCAAAGAGAUGGAAGCAGAGAUGGACAAGAACAAUAAAUACUACCAUAUUUCUUAACGGCUCCAAGAUAUUGAGGAAUAACUCUUGGUACGAUGUCGUCGGAGAGAUGAAGAUUCUUGGAUUGGGCUUCUUUAUGCAGGGUCGACAUCUCUUUGAAGUCUCCAUGGAGCAGCUUGUAAGGGUUUCCCCGGAAACCUUGCUCUUUCAGACGUUUCUCCAGCUUCUUCGGUCUAAACCAUACCCAGUUCAAAGCUUUCCAUGAGACUACUACUACUACCAGAAGCAGAAGAAGACGAGAGGAAUACACAGUAAAGGUUGAUACAUCGGUGGCUUCCAUGUUGUGUUUUUGUUUUGUUGGUUUUCUUGUGAGAUUUCUACCUUGGUUUUGUGCGUCUGCACGGCUAUCCGUUUAUUACUUGGAGAAGGGAGAAAAGGAGGAACUUUUAGCUCAGCACGGCAUGAUUGACUUGGUACACGAGACUUUGGAGCCUAUUUCUAUAUAUUUCUCGGAUUUUAGAGCAAAGUUUUUUUUUUUUGUUUUUGUUUUGGGUGCAAUUGAGGACCUCCAAGCCAAUUUAAUUUAACUGGACCUUGAAGGCAAUUUAAUUAGAACAAUUUUGUCACAGAAUUAGAAGGAUAUUCGAACUUUGUAUAAACCCUAUCGGAAAAACAAACAUAGAGUGGAAAUUUUAAUUAAAGGCUAAAUUUUUAUGUGCUUUAAAAUGCUGAACAGUUAUUUUUCUUUGGUAAGUAAAUUUCUGGACAAAUAUUUUUGUACAGAAACACUAAAAAUUUUGCUAACCUUAAAACGUUAUAUGUGUUCAAAUCUCUCCUUUUUCCUUUCUCAUUUUUUAAAUACCACCCCUUCCUUAUUAAUUUUUUAAAAAAUUUUUUUAAAUACCACCCCUUCCUUGUAUGUGUGAAUGUAGAGGACGUGACAUUUAAAGCACAUAUAGAAAACACUUUCAAUUGUAGAUAAUUCUCAAGUACACUAAACUUCGAAAAUUUUAUGAACAUGGCUGUAUUGAGUGUAGAAAUGUGGUGGAACUGAAUAAAAUUUCUGUGAGUUUUAGGUGGAAAUCAUAAGUUAUGAUUCGAUUAAAGAAGACCAAACUUCAAUUAAGUAAUGCCAUUGAGUUUUAGUAUCAUGUAUUAUGUAUUGAUUCAACCUUCAUUGCUUACUCGUAAUCAUUAUAUGAAAAAGAAUUAAGAUGGGGCAACAAAAUUUUGGAAAGAAUAUAAAAUUUGGUAUUGAUUUGGAACUAAUGAUAUACAUUUCAGAUACUUGCGUCAAACAAAUAUAUUAGAAUGAAUGGCCUCAUUUCAAAUUCAAAAUAUUCGAUUUCAAAUCCGAAUUUAAUGGCGAACCAAACGCACCUAAAUAUCCAAAUCUCGUACUGUAGAACAAUUUCGAGCUUUUUGGUACGUGUAACAUAAAUAUAUAGACAGCUAAAGUAGACAGACUGAGACAGCUUAGGAUACUAGCUAGCAAGGUCAGAUGUUCUAAAAGAACAGAAAAGACUAGACAAUGAAACGUGCACUCAAUUUCAACAAAUUGAUUAAUAUUGUACUGGCAGCAACCAACCAACCUAUGUCAGCAGUUAUUGAAGGCAAGCAUCUGGAAGAAACUAUUUGAAAGUGGAAAAUUCAUUUGCAAAAAAUUCAUUUUGUUAGAGAUUGAAAGAGUGGAACAUGACGUACAUUCAACAGCUAUAAUUGUUAAAAAUUCAUGAUGCAUUAAUUAGCUGUGACACUGCAAUUAAUUAGCUUAAGAAAGAUAUGGAAUUUGCAAAAUCAAAUAUUUUAGAUGAAAUCAAUUUUAAGUACCGGGUUAGCAUAAAUUUCAACAAUCCUCUGAUUUUAAUCCCUAAAUAUUCAAUUAUUACAUGGAAAAAAUCUGAAACAUGGAAUGAGUCAAACUAAGUGUUCGGAUCGAAGAUUAUUUGAGAUAAUUUUUCAAAAAAAUACUAUAUCACAAUCUGUAAUGCAUAUAAAAUAAAAAAAAAUAAUUAUAAAAUACGUUGAUAAUGAAAAUAAAUAAAUGUCAGUGAACAAAGCACUGAGUUUGUUUGGAUAAGAAUUUAUUUGGAUGAUUUAUUUGAUCUAGUUACUGUAGCACUAUUUGUGAUGUGAUGUACGUGAGAUAAAAAAGUGAUUGAGAAUUGUGUGUAUGAUGCAAGCAAAACAAAAUCUAAAAUUUUUUGGCCAAAUUCUUGUUGUCCAAGCAAACACACAAACUAGAUGACCUAUGCCAUGACGAUGGCAGACAAUCUUUCUCGAGGAAAAAUAUGACCAAGCUUUGUUUUCUUUCCAAGUAUGUUAAAUUGAUCCUUAAAUAUAUCUAUGCCCUUUAUGUUUUGAGCACUUUAAUCCAAACUGUCUUUUCCUCUUGUCUUGGGAGCUCCGCUGAAAUAUGAUAUUUGUGAGGUGAAAAAUAAAUUAAUAAAUUAAAACCAGAAGUCAUGAAGUCAACGUACAGAAUGGGAUAAAUUAUGGUAAAUUACAAUAUGAGUCCGUUGUUCUAAAAUUUUAUCACACAAUCCCCCUAUUAUUCCACAAUAUCCAAUUGAUGCCCAGUGACUUUGUGUAAAAUUCAGAUUAGCCGAAAAGCAAGACCUGAUAAAUUACAAAGGAAUGUGCAUAGUUGUUUUAAAUUUGAAUACCUCAUUAGUCAUCUCAAUGGUUUAUUAUUACUAUUUUUUAAAAUAAAUCUGAAGACUAAAGCUUCUAGGGAGAGUUAGAUGUCUUUAAAUGGAAAGUACGUGUAGAAAGACAAAAGGGAGUGCUGGAGUACCGGCAAAUGGCAACAAAAUAGGGAACAAAUCAAAAUGAAUUGUUAUUCAAGAAUCAUAGAGAUUUCCAAAAACAAAUUUUUUUUUGAGAGCAGCAAAUUAAUUAAGUUGUUACAUGGUAGUCCUUUUUAAGUAUAGAGCAAAACUAUGGCCCUUUUGAGUAGAGUGGUUUUAACCAAUUUAGAUAAACUUUGCAAUUGCUAUGCUUAAUUUUGUUGUCGAUUUCGCGUGACUAUUUAAAAUUGGCAUGCCAUAAAGGCCGAAGAGUGAACCACUGAGCUAAUGGCUCAGUGGCCACCAGGGAGGGACUUAAGUCCCUCCUUGAGCUGUUGGUGAGGAUUCAAACCUCACCAGCAGCGAAAAAAUCUAAGGAUUGUGCUAUAACACUCCCUUGGUCUAGUUGGGUCUGCAUACUCGCUAGCCCCUACUUUAGCCUCCUUAGGCUCCCCCUUCCCCUAGAUUAGGAUAGAGUAGGUUAUACAAAUGUAUCGUUGCUGACAAAAAAAUAAAUAAAUAAAGGCCGAAGAGUGGGAAUUGCUGUAUUAAAAUUAUAUAGUUUCAAUUAAAUUUCGUAUUACCGUCUUAAAGUAGAGAAAAUGAGCAUAUCACUAAUAGCAAAAUGAUUCAUUUCAUUUUUUUUCCUAGCAGGGGAGGUGUGAGGGUUUAAGAAGUAAUGAGGGAAAAAGGGAGAUUAGAACCUAAAAACUCUAUAUUCAGGGUCUCAACCUUCAAAUUUAGCCACUAAGCCAAUGUCUUCUCGGCGCAUAUUCAUUUCAUUUGAUGAUUCUAAGUGACCUUGCAGUGGAUUGUUAAUCAGAGCCGGAUUAUGACCUUUAACCCUCAUUUGGAAAAAAAAUUUAGCUUUAAUUAUAUCAUGUAUUCAAAAUCGCAUUCAGGGCUGCAAUCAAAUUGACAUCACAGUUCCAUCUAGGUUACGGUGCAGCCAUUGCCAGUUGAAUCAUAGGCAUAUUUUGUAUUUACAAUAUCGAUUGAUAUGAAAAAGAAGUCAGAAUCGGCAUUGAAAUUCAUUCUUGAUUGUUUCUAGCAGAAAAAAGAAGAAUGAGAAAAUAUUUUGGACCCACAUUAUAGCACAUUUAUGUCGAGUAACUACAUAGUAGUGCUAGCCGAAAAAAAUCAAAUGAAGAUUUAAAACACUACGUUAACUGUUUUGUCUUUUAUUCUCCUAUUAUUCUCCCAUUAUUCUGUUCUCUUAAAUUGAUAUUUUAACAAUCAUUAUAACAUUUUAAACGAUAAUAACAAUAUAUUCACAUAUAUAUAUAUAUAUAUAUAGGUAAUCAUAUUUUUUACACAUUUCCUCAGAGUUGCAUUAUGUAAAAGGUCAAACCACAAUAUUCUAAAAGUUUUGGUCUUAAAAGUCAUUCUCCUUUUAUUUGACUAAUUCUGCCUGCCGGCCUACUUCUCUUCAGCCUAAAAUUGCUCCCCACUUGUUCGUAUUCUUCUUGUGUUCUAUUCCGCGACAUUUUCCAUUUCCUACAUUGUUAAACCGUGGAACGAAUUGCAAGCCUGCAACGUUGAAGGCAAAUUAAACAAAGAGCCCUUAAACAACUUCAUUUUAGAUGUAAGAGAAAUAUACCAAUCUUCAUAACUUCGCAGCAAAUUAAACAAAGAGCCCAUAAACGGCCAUUGAUAACAAGAUUUCUUGUUUUACAGUUUCUUUAAGAUCAACUGAGCUCCAUACUGGGGUUGAAGAGUGAGCACAACUUGAGGAGCAUGUGCAUAACUCGGCGAAAGCUCCCAAGAAAAGCGCCGUAAGAUCAAAGCCAGCGCCAUCUUUGCUUCCAGCAUAGCAAAAUUUUGCCCAAUGCAAGUUCGAGGUCCCCAACCAAAUGGAAAGAACGAGAGAUUGCCUUUUGUAGCCUUUGAAACUCCCUCACUGAAUCUUUCUGGUUUAAAUUCCUUCGCAUCAUCACCCCACAAGUCUUUGUCCUGCUGCAGCAAGAUUGGGGCCACAAAGAUGAACAUUCCUUCGGGCAGUGAUAGUUCGCCUAAUUUAGUUUCUUCAGGAUUCAUUCGAAAAAAAUUUGCUGCCGGUGGAUAUAGCCUUAGAACCUCGUUAAGGAUCAUGGUAACCUUUAGAAAAAUAAACGUAAACAGAAGAAUGAUUAGUGGAGAUUGGAGCAACUAUCAAAAAAGUGCUAAGAUGGGAGCAUAAUUUUGCAAGUUAUACUUACAAUUUUGAGGUGAUUUAAUUUACUAAUAUCAGGUUCAUUGUUGUCAAAAACCUGUAGAACCUCAUCCCUGGCACGAGCCUGCCAAUCAAAAUGUUGACUCAAUAAAAUUAAUGUCCAGACGAGCAAUCCUGAGGUUGUCUCUUGUCCAGCCAAAUAGAAUAGCUUGCACUCCUCGAUGACUUCUUCAAGGCUCAAGCCGUUCUUAUUUCCAUGUUGUCGGAUCUCAUUCAAAUUGGAUUCCAAUAAAAUACCCAACAAGUCAUCACUUGUAGCUUCACCUGUUUGAAUUUCCUUCAGCCUUUCGUUGAUAAUGCCCAUAACUAAUGAGUUUACUUCCUUGAAAAUCUUCUGCAUUCUUUUGUUUCUUUUUGUUGGCACAAAACUGAAUGCAAAAUAGCAAUAACCAAAUAAGCUAAAUGAUACAAUUACAAACAAGAGAUUGAAAGACAGUAACUUACCUCCACCCCGGAAGGUAAAUGGACUGCAUAACUUGCUCAAAAUACAAAGCCUGUUCACUUUGGAGUUCAAAAAUCCUUCGCCCUUUUUCAUAGUUGCUACCAAAAGCUGUUCUUGAAAUUACAUCACUAGUAAAUAUUUGAAGAUAAGGCCACACAUCUAAUUCAAAAGAUCCUUCUGCUGGGGCAAGGUUCUCCCAUUUGCUUAACAUCUCAUUACAACUCAGAUAAAAUGCUGGCACCAUGUACUAUAUGUGAAGGAGAAUCAAAAGCGUAAGACUUCCAGCUUUUAUGUUCUUCAUUAAUCAAAAAGUAAGAAUGGAAAUAUUAAUCAGUGAAAUUUUAAAAUUGGAAAGGCUGCAUUUGGUUCUUUAUCUGGACUAGAUUGGAACCAUAACUACAUUUAUAUGAUGCAAUGCCAAACACUAGCCAGUCCCAUGUCUGAUAAAUAACAAGAAACGGCCAAAAGCAUGUAAGAUAUUGAAACAGCACCAAAUUUCAGGAGAAAAAGCUAGAAACAACCUUCAAUUUCUCUACAUGAAAAGCAGGAUUCAAUAAUCUUCUGUGUUUGGCCCAUUUUUCUGUAUCCAGGCUAGCAAGUCCUAGUGCUAGAAGUUUACUGAUUGGAUUUGCCCGAGGCUUCUGAUAAGUAAAAUUUUUUGUGAAGACCUCCUUUACUUGUUCAGGAUCCAAGAUAACCAUUGCCGGCCUUGGUCCAAGCCAAAAAAAGCUAUUUUUACCUACAAAAUAAUUUUUGAUAAGCAACUUAUCCACUCUUAAAAAAAAAGGAUUGGGUUAACCAUAUAUGAAAUGCAUGAUUGCCAAAAAACACAGCAAACCAAAUAGUCUUCGGGCAAAUUUGGAGAACAAACCUUUAUGUUGCAUUGUUUCAUUGAUCAAGGGCAUGAUUCUGGGAAAGAUAUCAUCUGUUAAAGAAAUUGGUUUGGACUUAGCCUCCUCAAGCAUCCUUCCCAUGUCUCUGGUGUCUCCAAACAAGAACCUGUAAGAGUUUCCCUGUAGACCUUGCCGCCUGAGGCGUUUCUCCAUCUUCUUUGGUGUGAUCCAAGCCCAAUUCAAGAAUCUCCAUGCCCCGAUGAGAAGAACUAUAACUGACGAAACUCCAAUCAAGCUAUAGAAAAAGUCCAUUUUCUCUGAUGCGCUUCCACUCCUUCAGUCAAACUUUCUGCUGGCAGGGGGAACUUGCGAAGCGGUUAGUUAUUGAGGGAGAACCUCAACUUUGGGACACAUAAUUCUGAAAUCUAUGCAUAUCCAUCUGUAAAAUCAGCAAAGACAAAGUAGCUUGAUGGUAUGUUCUCUGCUAAAAUGGAGAUGCUCUGAGACUUCAACACUCACCUAUAAAGGACAUUUGAGCCUUUAAUAUUCUUGUUUAUGGUAAAAUGAUUUUUCUACUCGUUCACUUAAAUUACACUUAAUUUACUAUAUGAACACACAUAAUACAAUUAUUAUAUCCUCUGUAUUUAAACGCUUUCCUAGUAACUAUAGUUUUUUUUUAAAAAAAAUAUAGCACUUUUGAGGCCACCCUAACAGAGGGGACGAUAAAGGAGAACCAAUCAACAAAGCUCGAUUAUCCAGCAAGCCUCGCAAAUCAUCCUCAGAAGUCUUUUUCUAUCUGCCUUCUAGAAAAAGUGUCAGUUCAAUAAAUAGAACUUGAGAAUUUGACUUUUGAAUUACCGUAAAAAAAAAAAAAAGGAUGAAGAAGAAGACUAUAACCGGCUAACUCUACAUAUAAAUGGCUAUUGUUAGAAUAGCUACUCUUUGAGCAGUGAUCCAUGGCUAUUAUUAAUGUGCUAAUGUGUAAUAACAAUUAAUUGUAGCACUAAAGUACACAUUAUGUUUUUGCUGAAAUCUAUUUAAAGAAAAAACAUUUAGUGGCUACAGUCAAAUGAAAAGAUUUUAGUACCCUAAUGUAAUUGAUGCAGAUUAGGAGUAUCAAACUCUUUUUCAUUUAAAAAUAGCAAGGGAAAUUCAAGUAUUUGAAAAUUAGCUAAACAAAGUGCUGCAAAUUGAUAGCACAAGGUACAGAAGUCCUAAAACUGAUAAUUGAAGAUAGUUUAGGGGAAAAUGUCGCAAUAAGCUUUGGAUGUAAUUUUAAAUACUUGAGCAUGAGAAGGUCGCAUGUAGAACUAUAUCUCAGGACCAAGAAAUUUGAUGCGAAAAAUGGCGAAUUUUUUUGUUACAGCCUUGACUCUCAAUGGUUUGGAAACAAAAAGAUCAAUGUGAAAUUUGUUUUUGAUCAACUGCGUCCUCUAAUGCGGUUCAUUAAUAAACAUAAUAAGAAAUCCCAGAACAUUAACAUUUGUCCUUUUUAACCUAUUAACGUUAAUACUUUGCAAAAUAGCAAUAACUCCAAAAUCUUCUUGUAAUUGCACCAAAAGUUUAUUAAACCUUACAGAAGCAGCGACCUAAAAGGCUAGCAUGAUAAGCAACAUGUAGCAAUUACAGAAGUUCAGUCACAUAAUCAAUAACACGCAUACAUAGUUCAAGUCCUGGAAUCGCUGGCGUUCAUGAAGCAGAUGAUUCAGAUAACAGGUUUAUACUACAGUUUCUUCAUAAUCAACUGAGCACCAUACUGAGGUUGAAGAAGGGUAAGAAACAAGUAUGGGGCAUGCGUAUACAAUGGAGAAAGCUCAAAGGAAAAGCGCUGUAAAAUUAAAGCUAAUGCCAUUUUUGCUUCAAGCAGAGCAAAGUUUUGCCCAAUGCAUAUCCGAGGUCCCCCACCAAAUGGCAGAAAACAGGGCUGGCCCUUAGUAGCCUUUGCAACUCCCUCGCUAAAUCUCUCUGGGUUGAAUUCCUUUGCAUCAUCACCCCAUAAACUUGGAUCAUGAUGUAGCAAGAUCGAAGGCAUCAAGACAAACAUUCCAGAAGGUAGAGAUAGUUCCCCUAAUUUAGUGUCUUCGUUAACCCUCCGGGAAAUCAUAACUCCUGGUGUAUAUAGUCUUAGAACCUCAUUAAGGAUCAUAGUCACCUGUAAAAGAAGAAUUACAAACCGAUGCUUAAAUGGAGUGCGAACUUCGUUCCAAGAGAAGAAAAUUGUAAGAUAAGUAUCCAGACAAUGUCAAGUGUCAACUAAUAGCUGUUGCCUACUAGAAAGCAGAAACAUUACACUAAACUCGGAUAUUGUUGUGCUUCAGGUAAUGGCAAAAGUAAAACAUGUCCUGAGUGAAUGGAAUGUUAGGCUAUGAUAUUCUUUAUGAAGUCUUCUGCAUCCGAACCGACGAAACUAAUUACUCUUCCAAAAGAGAACCUAAAAAACAAGUCUGAAAUGUGGCUGACAUUCAUGAUAUUCGAGUUUAGUCACUGCAGAUUUGUGAUACAAAACUGAAAUUCUUGAAUAAUAUCAAACAAUUCUGUCAUCAAAGCUUGUCCUCUUGAUAAAUUGAAGCGACUUACAAUUUUCAGCCGAUUUAACUCUUCAAAGUCUGGUAUAUUGUUGCCAAAGACCUGAAGAACCUCAUCUCUAGCACGAGCUUGCCAGUCUGAAUGCUUGCUCAACAAGAUUAGUGUCCACACAAGCAAGAUUGCAGUUGUCUCAUGUCCAGCAAAAUAGAAUAGCUUGCACUCUUGAAUAACCUCUUCAGAAGUCAUCCCAAACCUUUCAUUCCCAUGUUCUUGGAUCUCCUUGAAGUUGGAUUCUAGAAGUAAACCCAACAAGUCACUAUGAGUAGCUUCCCCUUCUUGCAUUGCUCUCACUCUUUUGUUAAUGAUGCCCAGUAUCAAUGAUCGCACGUCCUUGAAAAUUUUCUUCAUUUUUUUGUUUCUUUUUGUAGGUAAAAAUCUAUAUGAAAAGGAAAAUAUGUCAAACAGUACGGACAAAAACAAUUUGUCAAAUUUUAUGCCCCGCUUUAGAUUUUCCUCUAAACUGUUGGUUGCAUCAGUUGGAUUUUUACUGUCUGACUGAACGAAAAUAGCUCAAGGAUGUGUAGGUAAAAAACUUUGAGAAGUUUUUUUAGAUUACAGUAGCUAAAGUUGGUAAAAAACUAGUAUAAAAUAAACUCGAGUAAAAACUCAACUUCCAAACUGGCCCAUAAUUUGCUUAAGACGUUUAGGUCCUACAAAAUCAAGUAUGCAUGUCUCCCUUGGUUGAUUAAACUAAAACGUUUCGUCUGAUGGCUGACUUUGACAUGUAAUCCAAGGGUAAAAGCGCACAUUAUCCUGAAUCUUGAUCAUCAAAAGAAUGUGUUUAAAAACGGUAAAUUUAUGGAAUUACCUCCAUCCUGGAACAUAAAUUGAUUGUAUAGCUUGCUCGAAAAGUUCAGAUUGUUGCAUUUGAAGCUCAAAUAUCUUUCGUCCUUCUUCAUAGUUGCUACCAAAUGCUGUUCUUGAGAUCAUGUCGCCAGCCAAAGUUCUAAUAUCGGGCCACACAUCCAAUUCCAAUGAUCCAUCUGCCAAGGCACUGUUCUCCCAUUUGCUCAACAUUUCACUACAACUCAAGCAAAAUGCUGGCACCAUAUGCUAUGUAAAUAAUGAGGGGAAAAACAGUUCAGUCUCAAUUAAAAGCCAUAUAUGCAUGGCUAAAUUGUUGAUGUCCUCAUGUAUAUGCCAUCUCGAGUACGAAUUAGCAAAUCUAAAAUUGCUCAAAAACCAAUUCAAUAUCAACUAAUUAUGCAACUUGAUGAGUCAAAAGGUAAGUAGUAUUACCUUAAGUUUCUCUAAAUGGAAAGCAGGACUUAUGAUUCUCCUGUUCUUGGCCCAUUUAUCUGUAUCAUAUGUAGCAAAUCCUUCUGCAAGCAGCUUACCAAGGGGAUUAUUACGAGGCUUCUGAUAAACAUAAUUUUUGGUUAAGACCUCCUUUACAAGUUCAGGAUCAAUAAGAAGCAAUGCAGGACUUGGUCCCAUCCAUGUUAAGCAAUUUGUACCUGCAAGGUACAGCCACUGAUAAUAGCUGAAGACACUUUAUAAUCAAAUCAAUAGUUUAAUAAACAAAUUGCAGGUUUAUCAUUUCAUCCCAUAAUGAAAUUCUUUACAAUUUCAGUGAAAUAUGUAAUGAUUUAUAUUCUACUAUGGUUGAUGCUGUCUUCUGAAUAACAAAAUAUAGGGGAUCGCGUCAUUUCUGAAAGGGCGAUAGGACUAGUGGAUUUGCGUAAAAUUCAUUACAUAUAUUUUCAACACAACUUUUUCCCUCGUAUCUUUCAAUGACAAGAUAAAAAUAUGGCAUCAAUAAGGAAACAUACUACUCCAACUCAACAAAAUGAUGCCAAAAACAUUAAACAGCAGCUUCAGAGGAAGUUUGUUCAAGCAAACAAGUUUGACUACAUUACUUAAGCGUUAAGACCAUCUGGUUCUGUUACUCUGCAAUAAAAAAUUUAUUAGCAUUGAAUCGGCAAAAUAGGAGAUGCAGCAUACUCACGCAUGACUAUAUUCGAAUACUUUCCCUUCAGUUUAAAUAAUAAAAGAAAGGUACGGAAAGGGUAACGUUGUCUGGCCAUUAACAAAUCGUACCCGAGCUUCUGAUGAGUUUAUCCACGAAGGGCAAUAUUCUGGGAACGAUAUCAUUGGUGAAAUUAAUUGGCUUGGAAUAAGCUUGUUUAACCAUCUGGGCUGUUUCUUUCAUGUCUCCAAAGAGCAGCCUGUAGUGGCUUCCACCAAGACCUUGCUGUCUGAGGUACUUCUCCAGCUUUUUCGGCUUGAACCAGACCCAAUUCAAGAUUAUCCAUGCCCAUAUCGUAAGAAAAACAGAGCAUAAAACUCCGAUUAUGCUGUAAAACAUAUCCAUUAAUACAAAUAAUUCAGAAGGAGCAAAUGAAAUUCUUGAUUGAAACAAAAGCUUAAUUGUAUCAUGCUGAAUCAGCGAGUUUCAUUUUAUUCCUGGUCGCUUAGAUGGGCAGAGUCCACAGGCCCAGAGAAGUAGAGAUAUCUACUAGUUAUCUUGAGUUCUCUUGGUCAAGUCUGGCGGCGAUGCCUUCUCCAUUUCCAAAGUCAGGCCAAUCAUGAGGUGACCUGCAGGGAUGUGAUGUAUACACGAAGUGGAUAAUGCUUACAAAUUCUGUCACAACGUUGUCGAGGCGUGGUGUACACGGGGAGGUAUGGGUGGGCUAGGUGGCACGGCAGGAGAGAUCGCAUCUACACUUUAAAAAAAAAAAAAAAAUAGAGGUGUUGUAUGCGUGUAAUGUUGUAAUUUCCUGGUGAAAUUUCGUAGAGGUAGCUCAAACUUUGACUUCUAUUCUUUUAGGCAAUGUUAACUCAAAUGGUAGUAGCUUCCAAGAUCCUCAGUCUUGCUGGUGGCCAAUUGAAUUUUAGAUUCUUUUUGUUACUGAAAAAAGCUAAUAUAUGAACAAGCAAACGAGAAAAUCUGAAAAGUGAUUAUCAAACAAAUCCUAAGUCAUUUAAUGCCAUUCGGCGAUUAGAUUUUGAUCUAGUAACUAAUGUUAAAAGGCUUGAGUAACCUACGAGAUUUAGGUUUAUCUUAACUAUUUUCUGCUAUCAUUUGUAACAUUAUGUUUGUCUUUCUCCCACUUCUCGUGGCUCAACGUAGAAUAAAAUGAGGUUAUACUUUUGUGAUUACAUAAUUUGUUUAAUGCAAGUUCUCUACCGCUUUAAUUAACAAUCAGUCAAUCAUCUAUUAUGGAUGUGACAGUCAUUAAUAAUCCUGUUUAUGAUAAAAUCAGACACAUUAAUAUGGUGAUGUCCGGUCGCAAUUUGCACCCUUCGACUCACAUUAAUUAGCGAUUUGAUCCAUAAGCAAUUAAUUCAAGAGCUUCUAAUGAAAAAAGUAAUUGUACCACUCAAGUAUAUUACACUUUUGUUCAAAGUCUUCUUAUUUAUACAUAGUAAAAGAAAUUCCCACGAUUUGCAAUUUAUCUAAACAAUGUGCAAAAAUCGAUAAGAUAAGGUACUAAUGUUCAAAAUGUUAGGGAGGCAAAAUUGAAAUUGAUGAUAGUUUAGGGGCAAAUGUUGCAAUUAGUUUUUGAAUGCAAUUUUAAAAAGAUUUUUCUAAAUUACACAUUACUUGCCAUAUAAAUAUAUACAAUCACAAUUGUUACGCACCUAUUAAUUAAAACAAAUCAGAAGUCUACAAAAGAUCAAAAUGACAUUGGAGGUGUAAUCGACAUAUUCACAACAGUUUCAGACAUGGUAUCUUAUUGUCAACCAAUGGUAAUCUAUUCAUGCCAAAGCACCACACCAUUAAGAAAAAAGGAAAAAGAAAGAAAAUGUAUCAACGUCUGAUUCAAUUUACUCUAACUACACCACCGGGAAGAUUGGCUUAAGCAUCAUCUAAUCGAUCUACUAAUACAUGCGCAAGUAUAUGGAACACAAGGAUUAUUUCAUAUUGUGUGUACAAAAUGGAUUGAAUUAAUGUAUGAACAAGAAGCACAUACCAUAAGCUUUGAUGGUCUCAUCAAUGAAAGGUAUGACUCUGGAGAUUAUAUCAUUGGUGAAAUUAAUAGGUUUAGACUUUGCUUCUUGUGUUAUCUUCUCUUUCGUGUCUCCAAUCACUAGCUUGUAAGAGUUUCCCCUUAAACCCUGUUGUCUGAGGCAUGUUUCCAGCUUCUUCAGCUUGAACCAAGCCCAGGUCAGAAUUCUCCAUGACCAUAUCACCAGAAAUGUAGUAGACAACACAGCAACUAAGCUAUAAAGAAUAUCCAUUGCUUUCUUGGUGAAUUUCUUAUUGAGUAAAUGGUAGUGCUGAAUCAGUUGUGCUGUGGGACUAUUUCCAUUACGUUUCCUACUAUUUUUGUUUUCUUAGCGUAUAUUUGUUCUUGAUUAAAAGAAAGUUGAAACCAUCUAGUUCUCCAACAAAUUAAUUGCAAAAAUUAUACAGUACUUGACAUUUUAAAGUAGUUUAAUAACACAGCAAUAAGAGUUUAAACAAUCCCUGAGCUGCAAUGUCAAAGCCUCGUCCUUAAUGCAAAUCUAGGUUUAUUGUCCACACAGUUCUUUGACCUACUUAAUACAACACAAAACAUGUCCUGAAGUCAUUACUCUCACAUCACGGAUAAAUUUGUCGUAUCUUGUUGUACACUAGAGUUUGCGCAAAAUCAGCUGAGCACCGUGCUGGGGUUGGAGAGUGAUGAUUGUGUGAGGAGCAUGCGCAUAUAGAGGAGAAAGCUCGAAAGAGAAGCGCUGCAAGAUCAUAGCUAAUGCCAACUUUGAUUCUACCAUCGUAAAAUUCUGUCCAAUGCAGAUCCGGGGUCCCCAACCAAAUGGAAAAUAAGUCAGCUGCCCUUUAGUUGCCUUUAAAAUUCCUUCACUAAAUCUCUCUGGUUUGAAUUCUUUUGCAUCAUCACCCCAUUUCUUACUGUCGUGAUGCAGAAGGAUUGCAGGCAACAGGAGCUGCACUCCAGCUGGUAAAGUUAGUUCCCCUAAUUUGGUUGUUUCAGGAGUCAUUCGACCAAGCAUUACAACUGGUGGAUACAGCCUCAGAACCUCGUUCAAAAUCAUUGUGAUCUAUCAAAAAAGGUAGUGAUGCAUCAAAGAUAGAGAUUAACAUUCUUAUAAUAUGAGAAACAGAAAAACUGUAAUCGAAACAAAGGAUUUCAAUUUUGUGUAACAAACUUACAACUUUCAAGUGAUUUAAGUCUUCAAACUCCGGUUUCUUGCUGCCAAAAACCUGCUGAACCUCAUCUCUGGCACGAUCCUGCCAGUCUUGAUGCUUACUCAGCAGAAUCAAAGUCCAGACCAACAAGGAUGAGGUUGUCUCCUGUCCAGCAAAAUAGAACAACUUGCACUCUUCAAUGACUUCAUCUAAAGUCAUUCCAAAUUUCUUAUCUUCAUGUUCUUGAAUCUCCUUGAAAUUGGACUCUAAUAGUAUAGCCAAUAAGUCAUCAUUCUUAGCUUCCCCCGCUUUCAUUGCCUUCACUCUGUUAUUUAUCAUAUCCAUCACUAAUGACCGAACCUCCUUCGCAAUUCCCUUCAUUCUUUUGUUCCUCUUAGUCGGCACAAACCUGUUCAAAAACAGACAAUAAAUUAUGAGAUGUACCGACCAAAAUAAAAGAUUUAAACACUGAUAGUGUACCUCCAUCCCGGAACAUAAGGCGAUCGCGCAGCUAGCAAGAUCAGCUCAGCCUGUUCUUUCUGAAGUUCAAAAAUCUUCUGUCCUUCUUCAUAGUUGCUUCCAAAUGCUGUUCUUGAAAUUACAUCACUUGUUAAAGCUUGAAGCUCAGGCCACACAUCCAAUUCACAGGAUCCUUUUUCGGAGAUUAAUUGUUCCCAUUUGCUCACCAUCUCAAAACAACUCAAACGAAAUGCCGGGAGCAUAAGCUAGAAGUAAGAAUUAGAAGAAAGCUAAUUAGCCUUGGUCAAAUAGUAUGUUUAUCUUAAACAGAGACGUAAUACUGUCUCAAUUCUUGAACUCAUAAUAAACAGCCUUAACAGUAGCAUCUUGAAAACUCAAAAAGCAUAUGGUUUUUUUUUUAGACGGACUAGAUAAAGUAGAAAUUACCUUCACUUUCUCUAGAUGGAAAGCAGGAUUAAUAAGCUUCCUGUGUUUGGACCAUUUAUCAGUUUCAUAGCUAACAAGUCCCGUAGCAAGUAGCUUGCUUAGUGGAUUACCAGGAGGCUUCAGAUAAUUGAAACUUUUGUUCAUAACCUCCUUUAUAUGUUCAGGGUCCAUGAGCAGGACUGCAGGCAUUGGUCCAGCCCAUGCGUAGGAAUUUUCACCUACAUGGCAAAGCCAAACAUGACAGUGAAGACUAGUCAAGAAGCAUAACCAUUUACUAAAGAUAAAAUUGGCCUUCAAGGUGCAAAACGGACAUGUUUCACCACAUUUUCAGAAAAGAAAAAGUCCUCGAUAAUCAAUUGUUUGAGCAUCAUCAAUCAAUCAGGAUAACUCACUAGUGCUUCAAGAGAAAAACAUAAAUACACUAGCUUAUCAGAUGCCAAACCAUGACAAAACAAGUAAAGGGCUAAUUAUAACCAAUUAAUACUUGAAUGAUGAAAAGCACGUAAUUCAACGCAAAGAAUGUGUAUAAACUUUAAAUAGCUGUAUUUACAAGUAAAACAUACCAUAAGUUUUGAUGGUUUUAUCAAUGAACGGCAUGACUCUGGAGACAAUAUCAUUGGUAAAGUUGAUGGGUUUGGACUUGGCUUCUUGGGUCAUCCUGACAGUCUCUUUCAUGUCUCCAAGCACAAGAUUGUAAGAGUUUCCCCUCAAACCCUGUUGUCUGAGGCAUUUCUCCCGCUUCUUCGGCUUGAACCAAGCCCAGUUUAAGAUUCUCCAUGACAAUAUGACAAGAAAAGAAGCAGACAAUACAGCAACUAAGCUAUAUAGGACUUCCAUAUCUCUUCACUUCCUUGUGAGUUUUCUACACUGCUUCUUAUAGAUGUAGGAAAAUGGAAGUGUGGAAGUAGCUGUGUGAAGGCAUUUACGUCAACAGUAAGUUUGUUGCUCUAAUUCAUUGAGAGGUCACAAUAGUCCAAGUCCAAAGAUGAAUGGCAGUCGUAUCAUGAACUGGACGAUUCCUACUAUACUUCGCAAGCGUUUUCUGCGUGGCGUGGCCAUCUUGUUCUCUCUUUUCUUAACCAAAAAAAAAAAAAUUUUUUUUUUCUUUUGCCCUCUUUCUGGUUUACACGUUGCACGAUGCUACCGUAGUUUGUACUUUUGUUCCUGAUUAAGAGAAAGUUGAAAAUAAAUAUCUAGUUUCUUAACAAAUUAGUGACGAAUUAAUUCGGCAUGUAGUUCACAUUUAGGGUGAUAUAACUAGUAGUAAUAAUCCUAUUGUUUCGACGGGAAAAAAAAAAAAAGAAUUAGUAGUAAAUGUUUAUAUUCAAGGAGUAUUUUAUUACUUUAAGUUUGAACUUUCGAAGGACGAAGACAGAGGGCGUCCCCUUCGAUGCGAAGUAACUGAAAUGAAGAAAUUAAAGAAGGAGAGGGGGUUUCAAAUGAUGAAAUUUCUACCUCUCCUGUCGCUUUUGUAAGUUCAGCUGACCUUUAUCUCAAUAGUACUUAAUUAGCAAGAUGAUAAUUGAAAGGUACGUCUGUAUGUGCAUUUCCAUGAAUUUACCGAGCGUCUUUCAAAAUAUAAAUACGCCACUGGGCCUUUGGCUAGGUGGUGAUAAUCUUGAUGGUGCGAACCCUUGACCUCUCAUAAAAAAAAAAGUCUUUCAAAAUAUAAAUACCAUUGAAUUUGCCAAGUAGGUUUCAAAAAAUAAAUAAAUAAAAUAUCAUUGGUAUUAUAUUCACUAAUGCACAGUUGUUCUGAUUUAUAUACAUAUAUAUAUAAAAGGAGCAGGAAAGGAGAGCGGUAGAAUUUGACGGAGCAAGGUGGAGGAAAAUCACCGGCCUUUGGGCUGGUGGCCACCACCAAUGCAUUAAAUUUUGGUGGGGGUGGGAGGCAAGGUUCAACUUUAAAAACGUGCAUUAAAAAAUCAACUUUGCCUUCCAUCAAUUUACCAUAUUAAAAAAGUGGCUCUGUUUUAAAAAAUUCAGACAGGUGCAUAGUAUAUUCGUACGGUCUGGUGGUAGUUUGAUCCUCUCCAGAUUAUCGUUGGACCUCUUCAGGUCCUCCCCCUCUCUCUUAGUGUAGAAUAAUCUAUCGUAUCGAUUAAAAAAAAAAAUUUGAGGAAAGGGGGAAGGGAGGAGCUGAACAUAGGACCUCUAGUUCCUAAAGUCUUAAUUUUAAUUACUUUUUUUUCGUCAACACCGGGGGUGUUCUAGUCUUGCUAGAAUAAUCUUUUUUAUUUCGUCAACACAGGGGCUGUUCGCCAGACUAAUCCCUCAUUGUUGCUUUCCAUCAAUACAAUAGGUGUUCCAGUUUUUCCGACUAUACAAACCUAAGAAUACACAACAAUUUUAGCAUAGUAGGAUUCGAACCGAUGACGAGGUGUUCCACGCAUGUUACUUAAUCCACACCCUUAUUCAUUGAUCGCUACAUUAAUUAAAAAUGGCGAGGUGUGAAUUUUGGAUAUAAUAUAAUGCUCACAUAAAUAUUCUUGACUUGAUCCCACUCAGUACAAAUUAGGAUCAAAUCAACAUAGUUAGAGGACUCAUUUUACUGAGCAAAAGGAAAUUAUUAGUUACUCGAAUAAAUAAUGUAAUUUUUUUUCUCCUGACAGGUGAGGUGUGAGAUUUAAAGAGUAAAGAGGAUAGGGAAGAAAAUUCAAAAUUUCUAAAUUUUGGGAUCUCAACUUUAAUUAUCCGCAUGCUUUUUAUUUUAUUAAAGAGUUUAAUCAACUGAUCAUUAGCUUAUUCGACUGGCAGGAAGAAUUUGAAGACAAGAAACAUAUUACCGUACGUUGAAAACAAGUACAUGCCACAAACAACCUCAUAUUUUAUACCAAUGUCUAGGUCAAGAUAAAGAGAGAACAAGAAGGACGUUCCAAAACGAAUAUGGACUGUUGAAUGAGUCCUUUUCACCAUGUCUCUUGAUCUUAUAAAUAAAUAAUUCAUCAGAAGCAGAUUAUGGGCUAUAAUAGAAUUCUCCUAUGCUUAAUCACUAAGUUUCUUUUGGGUCUUUAGUCGUUCGAUUGUAUCAGUAGAUCCAGUACCAGUACUACAGACUGAAGAGAAAGAGGGCGAGAAACGCAACUUCGAGAAUUAAGAGACUGACGAGCCGUUUUUUUUUCUCUUUUUUUUUAAGUCGCAACAAUAGAAUUUCUAUAACGGGGGAAGGAGAGGGGGAGUGUGACGAAUCGUUUUCUUGGACAAUGUAGAGAUGCGCUCGUCCGUUGGCUAAAGAGCUCAUAGGUUAUGGCGAUAACGUCGUAAUAAUUAAUAAUAAAGACUAUUAAGUUGGACUGAAGCAGCGAUGAUGUCAUAGAUGACGAUAUAACAAAGACAAGGCAAGUACUCCGUACUAGGAAUGUAAUCGAACCGAACUGCUCGCGAGCUCGGUCAAAAACUUGACUCGAACUCAGGUUGACCGAGUUCGAGUGCCUCGAUAAGUUAAACGAGUCGAGUUCGAGCAUUCAGAAGCAAUGUUCGAAGGCUCGUCGAGCCUUAUUAAGCUUUUUAAUUUUAAUUCUUCAAUUUAUUAUUAUUAUAAAAUUACUCUUAUAUCUAAAAGAGUUGUUGAAUUUAUGAAAUGUUUCAAGUCGUGUAAAAAAUUUAAAAGGGCAAUAAUGUCUUUUCACUCAAAAAUUAUCAAGAAAAUGAAAUUUUGUAACUCGAACUCGACCGAGCUCGAUAUGAUUCGAAUUUGACUCGAGCCCAUGCGAGUCGAGCUCGAGUUCUGUGAGCAAGUUUUGAGCACGAGCUCGAGCUCCAAUAAUACUACUUGCUCGAGCUCGAGCACCUUUCUUGUGUGUUGAGUUGAGCUCGAGUAUGGCAAUACUCGAGCUCGACUCAAUUCGAUUACAUCCCUACUCCGUACCUUGCAGGUUGGCGAUUAACUGGCCAAUUUUUGCUCCCUUUGGUACUUUCAUCCUUCUAGAUUGGAUUUUAUUUAUUUAUUCAUUAUUUUCUGAAAUAGGAGUGCAAACGAAUUGAACCGAAUUUUAGCAUAAUCAAACCGAAUCUCAAUCUAAAUUUAUGAAACUUGAACUCGAGUUUAAGUUCGAUGAAUUCAAAAUGUAAAGUUCUAACUCGAAUUUAAAAAAAAAUUAUUAUUACUUUAUUUUUUAAAAUUAAAUAAAAUAAUAAUUUUCGUAAUAAAUAAUAAAAUAUUAGGUAUAUAUAAUUUUAUUAUUAAAAUAUUAUAUAUAUAUAUAUAUUUUUAUAAUUGAGUUCGAUUCGGCUCGCGAACUAAUGAAUUUAGUAUUUUUUAAAUCGAGUUCGAACUCGAGUUUGACUUGAUUAGCUCUUGGACUUGAGCCGCUUACGAUCGGUUUGAUUCGUUUGCAACCAUAGUUUCUCUUCUAGAUACGUACCAAAUCAAACUCUAUCAGGUAAUUUUAUGGGUUUUAAUUCUCAUUAUCAAACCCCUUGAUUUCAUAUUCAGAUUAUCCAUUAGGUAUCCUCUACUCAUUAAUCUGAAACUACUCAAAAACAGAGAAUUAAUUUUUAUCAAAGGAAAAUCAAUACGCAUCAUGUCAAAUCCACACACUAUAUUGAAUUUCAAACUUGAAUAGAGCCAUAGAGAAAGUGAAAAUUUUAUGAAAAGUAAAUUUAGCAGACUUCCUAAAGAGAAUGAGCAAGUUUUAUAGAGGUAUUAAUUCCUAUAUAUAUAUAUAUAUAUAUAUGUUGGGCAUCGUGUACUAGGUUGUUAGAAUUCUUUUACCAAACCUUAUUGGGUUAUCUGUUGAUAAUUUCUCAUCAAUAUCAAAUAUUAAUGGAUUAUCCAUAGGUUAUCUAAUCGAAUUAACCAUCAAGUCGGCUACUCGUGAAUAUUAGAUUUUAUCCUACUCUCUGUCAUCCCUGUUUAUCUCACAAAUUUUUCACUCAAGUUCCAUGUGUUGCGACAAUAAACUUUGUUGGAGGAUUAUGUCUUAUCUCGGAGGAGUAAUGUCGACCUAUCUCGGAGGAGUAAUGUCGACCACGGUUCUAAUUCAUGUGCUAUCUUUGAAGAGGAUACAUGGCCUGAGGCCCUCUCCCAUGGUGUUGAACUGUUGUUCAUUGGAUUGAGUGAGGAAACUUUUGGAAAGAUAAUUAUGCUUCUAAAUGUUUCAUACUCUGAUUCAACACCUAGGCCGUUGAUUUCACCAAUCAUGAACAUGCUUUCACCGUCACAAUGUGAAGUCCGGUACCCAAAAAAAAAAAAAAAAACUACUCAUUCUUUCAUGUCGACAAUGAAGUACAGGUCUUCCAAAUAUGUCUUUCACAGAGUCACGUUCAUAACUCUACCUGCUACGUUGAAAACAAGAUACAGAGAAAACAAGUACAUGCCACAAACAACCUCAUAUUUUAUACCAAUGUCUAGAUCAAGAUACAGAGCAAACAAGAAGAACGUUCCAAAACGAAUAUGAGCUGUUGAAUGAGUCCUUUUCACCAUGUCUCUUUGAUCUUGUAAAUAAAUAAUUCAUCAGAAGAAGAUUAUGGGCUAUAAUAGAAUUCUCUUCUGCUUAAUCACUAAGUUUCUUUUGGGUCGUUAGUCGUUCGAUUGUAUCAGUACUACAGACCGGAGAGAAAGAGAGAAUGACAAGUCGUUUUCUUGGACAAUGUAUAUGUGCGCUCGUCCGUUGGCUAAAGGACUCAUACAUGGGUCAUGGUGAUAACGUCGUAAUAAUUAAUACUCCCUCCAGUCUCGUUUUGUUAGUCUUGUUUUUCUUUUUCGUCUGUCCCAAAUUGUAGUUACACUUUCCCAUUAAGGAAUGUAGUAAUCUUUCAAAUUAUCUAAAAUACCAUUAUUAAAUAUCUUGUUAUUAAUAUAUUGUUAUUAAAUACUAACUCACUACAUUGAAUAUAUUGAGCUUUUCCAAUACAUAGAUAAAUGAAAAGUCUAUCUUUGUUAUUCUUUGAAAUUUAUUAAUAUCACGAGGAAAACAAAUAAUGCCAUCAUUAUUUACAAAAUCAUGAGUGAAAAUUUGCAAAACCAUCCAUAUUCUCACAAUUUUUCUGAUGAAACACCAACAAAAGAAUAUGAUCUCAUCUCAACGAGUCAAGAAUGUGCACAAGUUGUCUUUGAAAUGUAGAGGAUUUUUUUGCCCGAGUUGAAAUCGGUGAAGCCAUCAAUUGACGUAAAUGUUCCAUCACAAGAAGAUAGUUUUGCUCCUACAACUGAAGAGCAUGAAUCUUCUUUUUCUCAAGUGCAAGAAUAUUUUCAGCCCAAGUUCAAAUCAGCCCAAGUAUUUUUUUGCAAAGUUGAGGAGACGUUUUCUGGGAAAAUAUUCAAAUCGAUGGCACUAAUUAUGGAUGAAUUAUCCAUUUUUAAUUGCCUUUGCUUAAGCUUAAUUAGUUGCCAUAUUUAUAGAGUUCAGUGUAAAAAUUGAAGAUAAUUUUGGUGGGAAGAACUUGAAUCCACUAUUGGCGGAUGAUUGAAAAAUGAAAAUGAAAUGGAGUAUUAGGCGCCUGAAAUGGAUUAUGAAAUGGAGUAUUAGCGGCAACUGAUAUUUAUUGGCACUAUUGGCGGUAAUUGAAACAAUCAGGGUGCACUAUUGGCGGCAACUAAUAUUUAUUGGCACCAUUAGCUGUAAUUGAUAUUAAUUGGCACUCUUCAUGAUUAGUAUAAGGGUAUUUUAGGAAAUUAUUAAUCUAAAUUUAUGUUUCCAGCCAAAUUAAUUACACUUUCUUAAUCUGUGUGGAAAAAAAAACCAAAACUAACAAAACGGGACGGAGGGAGUAAUAAAGACGGUUAAGUUGGACUGAAGCACGAUGACGUCAUAUAUGACGAUAUGACAAAAACAAGGCAACUUCUUCGUACCAUGCAGGUUGGCGAUUGACUAGCCAGUUUUUGCUCUCUUUGGUACUUUCAUCCUUCUAGAUUGGAUUUUAUUUAUUUAUUUUUUUAGGAGUAUAAACGAGUCGAGUCGAAUUGAUAUUUGAUCUAAUCAAAUCGAGUUUCAAUUUAAAUUUAUGAAACUCGAACUCGAACCCGAGAUUAAAAAAAUAAUUAUUUUAUUUUUAAAAAAUAAAUAAAGUAAUAAUUUUUCUUAAUAAAUAAUAAAAUAUUAUGAACAUAUAUGUAAAAUAUGCGAUCGAGUUCGAGCCGACUCGCGAACUAAUGAAUUUAGUAUUUUUGAACUCGAGUUCAAGUUCGAGUUUUAUUUGAUCAGCUCGAAUUCAAGUCGAGUUCGAACUAAAGCUACUCGCGAGCCAUUCGCGAACGACUUGAUUUGUGAUAGGACACAUUUUUAUUAUUAAUUUUAUGAUUAUUUUCCUCUUUUAUUUUAUCAAAUAUUACGUUAAUUGGUAGAUUUUAUUUAUUUUUAGUAAUUGGCAUUAAUCGUAGGGAUUUGGAUAAAAAAUGGAUUAAAAACGUAAUUUUUCACUGAACUUGCUGUUCCGCAUGGGCAAGUCAAAGUAUUAAUUUGCAUCUCCAGAAGUUCGGGAUUUGGCGCGUAAUCUUUCAUUCUAGAUCGAAAAAGUGAAAGUCGGAUACUCCACCAAAUAGAUAGCCUCCUAUUUUUGUUGAAAUACUAGUCUAGGCUAUUUUGUAGGACUUUUUGAAAUGACUUAUUGGUUUUCAGAACGGGCUAGGUAGUUAGGACGCAUCUUUUCUUUUUGGGAAGAAACAAGAGAAACGUUUUCUCUUUCUUUUCUCCCGAAUAUUCAUCUAAUAAUGGAAGAAUGGUUGUCGCAUUUACUUCAAAUAUUUUGCACGUGGCUUUUUCUAUGACGAUCAACUAAACACUUCAUUCUAGUCAACGAAUAAUGAAGAAUUUGGUUCAUUUAAAAUUGUGAGAUUGAAUUCGACUCAAGUUUGAUGUCGAGUUUGAACUCAAGCCGCUGGCGAUCAAUUCAAUUCAUUUGUAACCUUAUUAAAAUCACAUAAAGGAUGAAGCAUUGAAACGAGUCAUAAGAUUUUAUCCUUUGUGAACAAACACAACAAUGUCUAGCUAAAAACACCAAAGAAAGGCCCUUAGUGGGAGGCAACCCAAUUCAUAGGAAAAACUUUUGAACAAUUAAGCGUAGGAAAAACUUUUCACGCCUGUGUCCUUCAAAGUAGUUAAGAGUAAAAGCCGGCGGGCAAUGGCAAUUAUGUUUGAAGGUAUUAAGGAAAUGUUUUAGGGUUUAUUUCAGGGACAUUUUUAUCACUUUUAUGUAGGAAAAUCUGUUAAAAAGUUACUGAUGAAUGUUAUCAUAAUAUAAACUAGAAAAAGAAAAGCAUAGUCAAAGCGAAAAUUCAUGGGUUUAAUUAGAUAAUCUUUUAAGAGCUUGUAUGAUGCAUUCUCAUAAUCGUGGACUAAUGUAAACUUCAACACUCAUAGUAAUCAUGAACGCUACAAAACAGUUGAAAAAGUAACACAGUAAAAAUACAGAUUUUUUUUUUUGAAAAAAAGAAAUACAGACAAUAUACUACGUUUAAGCCUCAAUUCCAAUCACUGGCUCCACUUCCUGUUCGUUACUUCUCCUCCAUUUCACAUUUUUUUUGUGUCCUUUACCAUAUGGGGACUAAUCCAGUUUCUGAAAAUUUAUGUCAACAUUCGUUUUCAGAACAUUAAAAAUCCAUCUUGGCCUUGAGAUUAUACUCUCAUUUCUGUUCUUAUGCUUUGUGUUUCAAGGCAGACGGUGUUAUAACAACUCCAUAAAGCUAGAAUGCAACACUAACUUUUGGAAAUUUGGGCCUCGAAGAAAUCUUGAUCAUAAGGAGGAUAAAAAUGUAACAAAAUUAUACGAACGGAAGCAUCAAAUUGAAAGUCUGAGACAAGUCGGGUUGGGGAUUGAUCAUGGUUAUUGCUAAUUUGCUAUACGUCUUUUAGUGAGCCGAUCUGAGUUUAAUCCUAAAAAUUAGGCUCGAAUUAAAUGAGCCGAACUUGGACAUCAUUAGGCUCAAACCCGAUAUAGGACCGGCCCUUUAAUUACCUAUAUAUAUAAUAUUUAUAUUUUGAUAUUAUGUAUAAUUAUGUAUCCAAAUAUAUUAUUACUAAAUACUAAAUAUAUAUAUAUAAAUUACAAAAUACAAAAAUACAUUUGAAGACUCUUCCAUGAGCUUUCUUGAGAGCCAAUAUUAGUAAUGCAUAACUAAAUCUCUAACUUUUCUUAUUAGUUGAGUAAAUUUUUGUGUUGGCAUAAUAUUGGUUGAUUUCUUUUUGGUCUAGAAGCACAAAUCAUAUAAAAAAAAGUUCCAACUUUUAAGAUGUAUUGGCUUAUGAUCGUAUGUUUUAUUACUAUUUUUCAUGUAUUUUGAAUGAAUUAAAUAUAAAUAUUGUUGAAAAAUUUUUGGUUUAUAUAAUUUUUAAGAACUAUUAUUUAUUCAUGUAUAGUUUUACAACUUAAUAAUUAUAGUAAUUAUAUUAAGAUAAUUAAUGAGUAAUAAGUGAGUUUGGGCUAAAUCCAAAUAAGACUCGUAACCCGAAUAUUAAGUGAGUUGAGUAUGAAUUUCACAUUUAUUAACCUGAAUCUUGUAGCCCGAAGCCCGAAAAUGUUAUAAAUUAAAUGAACUGAGUUUGAACUUAUGCUGGCCUGACUUAUUACUUCAGAAUUCUCCACGAUCAUAUCACCAGAAAUGUGGUAGGCAACACAGCAACUAGGCUAUAAAGAAUAUCCAUUGCUUUCUUGGUGAAUUUCUUACUGAGUAAAUGGUAGCGCUGAAUCAGUUGUGUGGUGGGACUAAUAUGUGAGUGCGAUUGUUGCCCUGAUGGAAUUAAACUUCAAAAGAGUACAAUGACGCACCGCAGUACUAAAUGUUUCCCACUAUUUCCAUUACGUUUUCUCUCGGUUGGGUGGCAAUCUAGGACAACUGGCAAUCGUCUUGUUCCCUCCGUCUAGUUUAGGCAUUGCAUGGUACUACUAUAUUUCUUUGUACAAUUUUUGUUUUCUUAGCGUACAUUUGUUCUUGAUUAAAAGAAAGUUGAAACCAUCGAGUUCUCCAACAAAUUAAUUGCAAAAAUUAUACAGUACUUAACAUUUUAAAGUAGUUUCAUAACACAGCAAUAAGAGUCUAAACAAUCCCUGAGCUGCAAUGUCAAAGCCUCGUCCUUAAUGCAAACCUAGAUUUAUCGUCCACACAGUCCUUGGACCUACUUAAUACAACACAAAACAUGUCCUGAAGUCAUUAUUCUCACAUCACGGAUAAAUUUGUUGUAUCUUGUUGUGCACUAGAGUUUGCGCAAAAUCAGCUGAGCACCGUGCUGGGGUUGGAGAGUGAUGAUUGUGUGAGGAGCAUGCGCAUAAAGAGGAGAAAGCUCGAAAGAGAAGCGCUGCAAGAUCAUAGCUAAUGCCAACUUUGAUUCUACCGUCGCAAAAUUCUGUCCAAUGCAGAUCCGGGGUCCCCAACCAAAUGGAAAAUAAGUCAGCUGCCCUUUAGUUGCCUUUAAAAUUCCUUCACUAAAUCUCUCUGGUUUGAAUUCUUUUGCAUCAUCACCCCAUAUCUUACUGUCGUGAUGCAGGAGGAUUGCAGGCAACAGGAGCUGCACUCCAGCUGGUAAAGUUAGUUCCCCUAAUUUGGUUGUUUCAGUAGUCAUUCGACCAAGCAUUACACCUGGUGGAUAUAGCCUCAGAACCUCGUUCAAAAUCAUUGUGAUCUAUCAAAAAAGGUAGUGAUGCAUCAAAGAUAGAGAUUAACAUUCUUAUAGUAUGAGAAACAGAAAAACUGUAAUCGAAACAAAGGAUUUCAAUUUUGUGUAACAAACUUACAACUUUCAAGUGAUUUAAGUCUUCAAACUCCGGUUUCUUGCUGCCAAAAACCUGCUGAACCUCAUCUCUGGCACGAUCCUGCCAGUCUUGAUGCUUACUCAGCAGAAUCAAAGUCCAGACCAACAAGGAUGAGGUUGUCUCCUGUCCAGCAAAAUAGAACAACUUGCACUCUUCAAUGACUUCAUCUAAAGUCAUUCCAAAUUUCUUAUCUCCAUGUUGUUGAAUCUCCUUGAAAUUGGACUCUAAUAGUAUACCCAAUAAGUCAUCAUUCUUAGCUUCCCCUGCUUUCAUUGCCUUCACUCUGUUAUUUAUCAUAUCCAUCACUAAUGACCGAACCUCUGUCGCAAUUCCCUUCAUUCUUUUGUUCCUCUUAGUCGGCACAAACCUGUUCAAAAACAGACAAUAAAUCAAGAGAUACACCAACCAAAAUAAAAGAUUUAAACACUGAUAAUUUACCUCCAUCCCGGAACAUAAGGUGAUUGCGCAGCUAGCAAGAUCAGCUCAGCCUGUUCUUUCUGAAGUUCAAAAAUCUUCUGUCCUUCUUCAUAGUUGCUUCCAAAUGCUGUUCUUGAAAUUACAUCACUUGUUAAAGUUUGAAGCUCAGGCCACACAUCCAAUUCACAGGAUUCCUUUUCCGAGACUAAUUGUUCCCAUUUGCUCACCAUCUCAAAACAACUCAAACGAAAUGCCGGGAGCAUGAACUAGAAGUAACAAUUAGAAGAAAGCCAAUUAGCCUUGGUCAAAUAGUAUGUUUAUCUUAAACAGAGACUUAAUACUGUUUCAAUUCUUGAACUCAUAAUAAACAGCCUUAACAGUAGCAUCCUGAAAAUUCAAAAAGUAUAUGUUUUUUUUUAGACGGACUAGAUAAAGUAGCAAUUACCUUCACUUUCUCUAGAUGGAAAGCAGGACUAAUCAGCUUCCUGUGUUUGGACCAUUUAUCAGUUUCAUAGUUAGCAAGUCCCGUAGCAAGUAGCUUAGUUAGUGGAUUACCAGGAGGCUUCAGAUAAUUGAAACUUUUGUUCAUGACCUCCUUUAUAUGUUCAGGGUACAUGAGCAGGACUGCAGGCAUUGGUCCAGUCCAUGUGUAGGAAUUUUCACCUACAUGGCAAAUCCAAACAUGACAGUGAAGACUAAUCAAGAAGCAUAACCAUUUACUAAAGAUAAAAUUGGCCUUCAAGGUGCAAAACGGACAUGUUUCACCACAUUUUCAGAAAAGAAAAAGUCCUCGAUAAUCAGUUGUUUGAGCAUCAUCAAUCAAUUAGGAUAACUCACUAGUACUUCGAGAGAAAAACAUAAAUACACUAGCUUAUCAGAUGCCAAACCGUGACAAAACAAGUAAAGGGCUAAUUAUAACCAAUUAAUACUUGGAUGAUGAAAAGCAAGUAAUUCAAGAGAAAAUGAGUAUAAACUUUAAAUAGCUGUAUUUACAAGUAAAACAUACCAUAAGUUUUGAUGGUUUUAUCAAUGAACGGCAUGACUCUGGAGACAAUAUCAUUGGUAAAGUUCAUGGGUUUGGACUUGGCUUCUUGGGUCAUCCUGACAGUCUCUUUCAUGUCUCCAAACACAAGAUUGUAAGAGUUUCCCCUCAAACCCUGUUGUCUGAGGCAUUUCUCCAGCUUCUUCGGCUUGAACCAAGCCCAGUUUAAGAUUCUCCAUGACAAUAUGACAAGAAAAGAAGCAGAUAAUACUGCAACUAAGCUAUAUAGGAUUUCCAUAUCUCUUCACUUCCUUGUGGGUUUUCUGCACUGCUGCUUAUAGAUGUAGGAAAAUGGAAGUGUUGAAGUACCUGUGUGAAGGCACUUGCGUCUGCACAGUACCUGUGUGACGGUAAGUUUUUUAAAAGUUUUAACUACACUAAUUUCAAAAAAAAUUUUAGAGUUUUUAAAUUAUACAUUUUAAAAUAUUAAAAAAAAAUAUACUUCAAAAUUUUUUUUAAAAAUUUUUAUAAUAAAUUAUAAUAAAAUUUUAGAUAAAUACCAAAAAAACUCACCUUCCAAGCGGUCUCACCAGCGUUUUCUUGGUGGCGCGGACAAUUCAUGACAAACGGCAGCCAUCUUGUUCUCUCUUUUUCUUACCCAAAAUUUUUUUUUUCUUUUGCUCUCUUUCUGGUUUACACGUUGCACGAAGCUACUGUAGUUUGUACUUUUGUUGGUGAUUAACAGAAAGUUGAAAAUAAACAUAUCUGGUUGCUUGACAAAUUAGUGACGAAUUAAUUCGGCAUAUAGUUCACAUUUACGGUAAUGUAACUAGUAUUAAAUGUUUACUUUUUUUUUAGAGACGACAAUUAUUAUAUAAUCUAUUUAUACUAAACUACAGGGAAGAAGAAUCUAUUAGUAGGUACACAGAUCUUAUUAGAUCAAAGGAAUGUUUUGACACAAUUCUUAAUUUUUUUUUUGUUGCAGCUGAGAUUUAAACCUUCAACCUACCGCCGAGUAAAUGUUUAUGUUCAAAGAGUAUUUUAUUACUUAAAGUUUGUACUUUCGAAGGAUGAAGACAGAGGGCGUUCUAUUCGAUGAGAAGUAAUUGAAGUGAAGAAAUUAAAGAAGGAGAGGGUUUUCUAAGGGGCUGUUUGUCAGACUAAUCGUCUUUUCUUUUCUUCUAUCAAUACAGUAGGUGUUCCAGUUUUGUCGAACAUACAGACCCAAGAAUUUUAAGUACUUUUAUUUUUUUCUUUGUCAACACAUGGGGUUUUCUUGUCUUGCUAGAAUAAUCUUUUUUAUUUCGCCAACACAGGGCCUGUUUGCCAGACUAAUCCCUUUUUUUUUCCCCAUCAAUACAAUAGGUGUUCCGGUUUUUCCGACUGUGCAGACCCAAGAAUACACAUGUUGAAACCGAUGCAGCGGAACGGAAAGAACAAACAAGAACAAGCAAGAAUAAAUUUGGGAAAAAUCAGAUUUUUAUUAGGGUUCGGAAUGUAUCAGAUGUUUUUUUUUGUACAGAAUGGAUAUAAGAGAUAUAUAUAUACAAUCAAAUAACCAAAAACGGAUUGGACUAUUAGGUCCAAAAAACCGAGACCCAAAACAACUCAGCGGGAGUCGAAGAUCUGAUUCAAGGUAUUUCAACAACACAACAGUUUUAGCAUAGUAGGAUUCGAACUGAUAUGCAACCGCAUGUAAUUAGUAGUUAAGCUGGGGGAUGUCACCUUUAAUUACUAAACUACAUAAGUUUGAUCACUUUACCCUUCCUACUCAUAGGUAUGCUUGAAGGAUACUGCCAUCAAUAUCAAAAUCAAAACUGAAAUGGACAUUGAUAUUAUAACCCUUAUGAGGUGAAUUGGCAUAGAUGAUUAUCUUCAUUUAUUUACUGUAUUAAGAGAAUUUAUUUAACUAAUAAGAUAUAAGGCAGAUGUGAAUUAAUUAAAAAUGACGAGAUGUGAAUUUUGGCACUCUUAAGAUAUAAUAUAAUGCUCACAUAAAUAUUCUUGAUUUGAUCCUACUCAGUCCAAAUUAGGAUCCAAUCAACAUAGUAAUUUUAUGCCUUAGAGGACUACUCAUGUUUACUGAGCAAAAAGAAAUUAUUAGGUACUUGAAUAAAUAAUGUAAUUUUUUUUCCCCUAACAGGUUAGGGGUAAGAUUUAAAAAAUAAGGGAGGAGAAAAGGGCGGAGGGGAUGAAAACUCAAAAUCUUUAAAUUUUAGGAUCUCAACUUUAAAUCUUUAACUGCUGAAUGAGUCCUUUUCACCAUGUCUCUUUGAUCUUGUAAAUAAAUAAUUCAUCAGAAGAAGAUUAUGGGCUAUAAUAGAAUUCUCUUCUGCUUAAUCACUAAGUUUCUUUUGGGUCUUUAGUCGUUCGAUUGUAUCAGUACUACAGACUGGAGAGAAAGAGAGAAUGACAAGUCGUUUUCUUGGACAAUGUAUAGGUGCGCUCGUCCGUUGGCUAAAGGACUCAUAGGUCAUGGUGAUAACGUCGUAAUAAUUAAUAAUAAAGACUAUUAAGUUGGACUGGAGCGGCGAUGACGUCAUCUAUGACGAUAUAACAAAGACAAGGCAACUACUCCGUACCAUGCACAUGCAGGUUGGCGAUUGACUAGCCAGUUUUUGCUCUCUUUGGUACUUUCGUGAUCCAUCCUUCUAGAUUGGGUUUUAUUUAUUUAUUCAUUGUUUUCCGAAAUAGGAGUAUAAACGAGUUGAAUUGAAUUUUGAGUUAAUCGAUCCAAGUCUUAAUUUAGAUUUAUGAAACUCGAAUUCGAACUCGACAAAAUCAAAAUAUAAAGUUCGAACUCGAAGUCGAGCCCGAGUUUAAAAAAAUAAAAAAAUAAUUAUUUUAUUUUUACAAAUAAAUAAAAUAGUAAUUUUUUAAUAAAUAAGAAAAUAUUAGAAAUAUAUAUAUAAUUUUACUAUUAUAUAUAUAUAUAUAUAUAUAUAUAUAUAUAUAUAAUCGAGCUCGAGUUGGUUCGCAAGCUAAUGAUUUCAGUAUUUUUGAAUUCGAAUUCGAGUUUGACUUGGUUAGCUCUCAAACUUGAGCCUCUCAUGAUGGGUUUGAUUCGUUUGCAGCCCUAAUUUUCCCUUCUAGAUACGUACCAAAUCAAAUUCUAUCCGGUAAUUUUAUGGGUUUUAAUUCUCAUUAUCAAACCCUUUCAUUUCAGGUUCGGAUUAUCUAUUAGGUAUCCUCUACUCAUUAAUCUGAACUACUCAAAAAAAGAGAAUUAAUUUUUAUCAAACGAAAAUCAAUACACAUCAUGUCAAAUCCACACACUAUAUUGAAUUUCAAACUUGAGUAGAGCCAUAGAGAAAGUGAACAUUUUAUGAAGAGUAAAUUUAAUAGGCUUCCUAAAGAGAAUGAGCAAGUUUUAUAGAGAUAUUAAUUCCUAUAUAUAUAUAAAUCCUAUUGAAUUAUCUGUUGAUAAUUUCUCAUCAAUAUCAACUAUUAAUGGAUUAUCUUUCAGUCAUCUAAUCGAAUUAACCAUCAGGUCAACUACUCGGGAAUAUUGAAUUUUACCCUACUCUCUGUCAUCCCUGUUUACCUCACAAAAAUUUCCCUCAAGUUCCAUGUGUUGCGACAAUAAACUUUGUUGGAGGGUCAUGUCUUAUCUCGGAGGAUCAUGUCACGGAGGAGUAAUGUCGACCAUGGUUCCAAUUCAUGUGCUAUCUUUGAAGAGGAUACAUGGCCUGAGGCCUUCUCCCAUGGAGUUGAAGCGUUGUUCGUUGGAUUGAGUGAGGAAACUUUUGGAAAGAUAAUUAUGCUUCUAAAUGUUUCAAAGUCUGAUUCGACACCUAGGCCAUUGAUCUCAGCAAUCAUGAACAUGCUUCCAGCGUCACGAUGUGAAGUCCGGUACCCAAAAAGAGAAAAAAAACAACAUACACAUUUCACGUCGACAAUGAAGUACAGGUCUUCCAAAUAUGUCAUUCACACACACAGUCACGUUCAUAACUCCACCUGCUAGGCAAAUUCACACAACAGAAGAAAAGAAAAGACACAAAAAUCACACAAACUUCAGCAGCAAAUGUUACCCAAACAAUUUUUGCGUCUUUCAACCGAAUUACUCUUCCUUGUCAAGAGGAAAUAAGUAGUACUUGCUUUGCUUGUGCUGGAAAUCUUGACACCAGUGCGGUUCUCGGCAUGCCCAUCGCCCGUCCGAGAUUACACUAACAAGCAACUCCACCAAACAUACCUAGACUGACGAACACCAUCGACCACCUAACAAGUGCUGAAAGCCACACAGAUGAGCAACUCCACCAAAAAUCAUAGCAACAACUGACUGAUUGCUGAAGUAGCCGCAGAAAGCUUUGAAUCUGGGGAACUUACUUUGAGAACACUAAUCCAAUGCUCAGCACUGUAAUGCUGCUCUAACAGAAAGCAAUAAAGAAUUAAGGUCACGACGCGAAGAAAUUUAAGAAUUACAACCAGCAGAACAAAAUGUGGUUCAUCUCCGCUUUCGUCAAAGCUGAUGGUUCACAAAAUGUCUGUUUACUCGAGGCCUACUAGAUUAUCAUUAUGUCAAUACAAUUAGCCAGAUGAAUUUGCUUGAGGCAUUACCUGAUAGAAAGAAAGUUGCAGAGUAAAAGACAAUCCGUAUUUUCUCCAAAAGCAGCCAAGGCAACAUAUUACGCCUCAUUUUCUCCCAUCUUAUCCAAUGCAUCACAGAAUUUGAAGAGUUGAAUCACAAAUGUUACAGCAACCAUCCCAUGUUUAGUGCAUGUUGGUUAUAAAACAAGCAUUAGCUACUUUUCUUAACACAAAUACCUCCAGUCAACAAAUUUCCUAACUGCAUGAUCAAUUUUUUACCUAUGUCUAUCUGAGAGUUACCUCAUCUAAUUUAAAUGCUUAUUAUCAGUAUGCUCCAAUAACUAUUUGGAAAAGAUUUGAACGAUCUACUACUGCCUAAUUCAACAUUGACAGGGGGACAUACCUCACAACAUCUGAUGCGGAAGCUGGCCCCAUAAGAUUCUGUGCACUGGCUAGGGGAUGAUCCUCAGAUCUUCAUUUCCACAGUCCUUUUGCUCCUCCUCAAUUUUCUGUACCAAAUCCUUAACAGAGGCCUUACAACUUCGCAAUUCAAUCACUUCAAGAGCUGAAAUCUGCUCUAAACAAGAUGGCAUCAGUUCCAAUUUAGAAAGUCCUGACAUCAGCAACUUCUGAAGACAGGGGAAAUGAUCAUCAGGAUCUGUGUCUGUCCACUCGACAACAUCCAAAUUUUCCAAAGCCAAGAACCUGAGUUUGCGGAACCCUCCUUCUGUCAGGACCCAUCUUUCACCCUUGAAGGAGUCGUAGAGUAAUUUCAGGACCUCAAGAUUGGGCAGUUCCUCAAUCAAUGAAAUUUUACUCCAGGGUAGGUUCAAUCCUAUGAGGACCAGCUUUUUUAAAGUCGAUGGGAAAGAGAACUCAACGCGAUCCGGUGGCAGUGACGUUGCCCACACUUCGAGUGAUUCUAGACUUUCUAGUCCACUCAUGUUGCAGUAGCCUAUAGUCGUAGAUUUCUUUGCCUUCGAGAGUUUGAUUUUUAGCUGGCGCACAUUUGGAAUAUUUUUCAGUAUGUUUUCCACUCUUUGGUCCAAAGAAACUCUUAAGGUGGAAAAUGUGUCCAAAUUAAGCAAGCCAGAAUUGUUCUCAAGAUUUUCUCUUGGCAAAGACCAUACGACAUCAUAGCCCUCAAUAUGUAGAUGCCUCAACUUGGUCAUGCUCCACAAGGUACUUGGCAAUGAAACAAUACCGUAAUCAGAUAUCAUGCGAAAAGUUUCUAAAUUUGAGAGUUUGGCUAUAGAGGGCGGGAUGACCCUCAUCUCACCUUGCAUAGCCAAGUACCUCAGCCCAACAAGCGAUACUACCUCGCUUGGAAAAACCUUGUACCGCAGAACAAUUUGCUCUAUAUCCAAGACUCUAAGACCUUUGUAAAUUUGGAAGACAAAGGAGGCAUCAGCCAAGAAUGACUCAGAGUCAUUUCUAAUCAGAUUAAUAAACAGCAGAGUGGAUAAUUGUGGACAAAAUAGCCUCGACUCCUUAAAAUGCUCAACCUUAGACCAAACGGACAAUCUGGAGAGGUCUGGGGGCACAUUGAAAGUAGAAAGCUCAUCAUACCCAUGCAGCACUUGUAGAAAAUUUUCUUCUUUGGCUUUGACCAUACAAUACUUAUGUAACAAAUCAUGAAUGUGGCAAGCUCUGACUCCACCUAUGGAUCUAUGUUUGGCCACCAUAACUAAAUUUCUGCCAAUUAGGUCCAUCAUGUAUUCUUCUGCUAAAUCCUCCAAUCAUUUUGCAUCUGUACAUUGCACAAAACCUUCGGCAAUCCAUAACUGCAUUAGUUUCUUGGAUUGAAUUUCUUGGUCUUCUCGAAAUGCUCCAAAAUAAAGAAGACACGGCUUCAAAUAUGGUGGUAGAUGCGUGUAACUCAGCUCUAAUAUAUUCGUGCACUCAUCUGUGUCAUAAACAGCCACUUCAUCCCAACGGUCAUAUUCUUUAGUUGCAAGAAUUCCAGAAAUGAUAACAACUGAAAAAGGUAAUCCCUUGCAAUUUUUGGCAAUUUGCUUCCCAAUUUUAAGCAGUCCUUCAGGACAUUCCUUUUCUCCAAACACCUUCUUCUGCAGUAACUCCCAACUCAGUGUAUCAGUGAGUAGGCGAAGAUUGUGAGGUUCCCCACCAUAUUCAAUCUGUGAAGCCACAUUAGAAUUUCGACUCGUGAAGAGGAUUUUACUUCCUUUCGUGGCACCUUGGAAUGAAAGUCUCAAGUCAUUCCAUACCCUGUCAUCCCAGACAUCAUCAAAAACAACGAGAUAUUUAUUUCCCAGCAACUUUUUACGGAGCUUAUCAAGCAAUUCGUCUUCAUCUAGAAUUCCGAGCUCUUCAUUUUUUCUAGAGUGUUCUCCAUCAGAGCACAAAAGUUGAAGUAACAAAUUUUUCACGCUAUAUGCUUGAGAAACAGUACACCAAAGUUGGAUGUGAAAUUGGCGCUGACUAGAAAGAGCAUUGUAAACUUUUUUAGCCAAAGUUGUCUUACCAAGUCCAGCCAUUCCCACGAUGGGAAUAAUUUCCAACUGGGAUCCUCUUAUGAGUCGAUUGAUUAAUGCUUUUGCCUCAUCAUCAAAGCCAACUACAAUUUCAGGGGUUAUUUCCAUUUUACCUUCUGAUGACGAAAGGCAGGAAGUCUUGCGAAUAUCUUGUCCUUCCAAGCUAUAUAUGAUAUGAUGAAGCGAUACCUCCAGACUGCUGAUCUGAGCCUUGAUAUUGUUACUGGUAUGAGCGAUCAACCAGCAGAACACAACAAUCAGGAGAACCUCUGAUCACUGCGAAGUCAUACAACACCUGCCAGAAAAAUAACAGCUACAACUUUUAGUUCAAAUCCGGCAUAGUAUAGCAGAAAGAAAACUCUCCUCCAGAAUUCAUAAGACAAUACAAAAACAGAAAAUACAUGCAUAUUUAUUCAAGAAAGAUGAAGAGGGAGAUAAAAGAAACUACAGAUUCUGACCAUGUUCGCUAAUUAUGCCAACCAUCCACAUACAUGAUACCGACUAGUUUGUAGCCAGCCAUUCACCAGUAUGGACCUCGUGAUCACUCUAUUCGAGAGGCAGAGAUUAGUUUAGUUUAUUUAUUUUGGUUUUAUUCAAUAAACCAUUUUAGAAUUGAUAAAACCAGCCGACCAUGAGUCAUGGCAUUGGGAAAAAAAAAAAAACCCAAGAAGAGAUCUUGCACGGGCAUAGGAUCCCAUUUAAAAGAAUACAGUAUUAGUGCUAAACCAACUCCAGAAGAAGAUUACACAAAAGGCCAAAAGAAAGACAGGAUUUCUUCGUCCCACCCACCUAAUCCUUCUUAAACUUGCUGAAAAUCAACCAACCAUUAUAAGUCAUGACAUCAGAAAAAGAUAGAUUCCUUUCAUUUCAGUAUUUCUGAACAAGUUCCUGGAUAACAAGACUGAAGGUUUAUCUGCAAUUGGAAAAAUAUCAAUUAGAUCUGUUGAAAUAUCCCCCUUUUGCCUUUAGUUUUCUGUUUUAAAGAAUUCCUGUGAGUGAGCUUAUAGGAAUAAUUUUAUUUCGAUGAACCAACUCGUUACUCGUUAGUUCCAUGCAACAAAGAAUAAUGAAGAAAUAAAAAUUAUACAAUUUCUGUUGGUCGUUUGUCUCGAAAUGGAAUGGCUUUUCUUUUCAUUUUGUGAAAGGUGGAAUCAUUACACAUAGUAUGCUCCGACCCCAUCAACCUAUAUUUUUGUUUUACGCUCCAUAGGCGGAUCGACUCAUCAAGUUCCCAUUGAAAUAGGAUCCAUACAAGAAAAAGCACUUCCCAUUCGUUGGUUAUUGGUGGCAUCCCGCACCAAUACACUAUCUCAUCAACAGGAUAUAGUGCUGGAAACCAAUAUAGAAAAGAUAAUCCAAAAGGUUAAAUCUAGAGAUGCUACUUCUUCAUUCUUUCCUCCACCAAUUUUUUUUUAAUGAAUGAGAAGAUUAGGACUUCUUGAAUUAUAGUUAAAGUCUUUAUUUAGUUUUUAGGAUCCAUUGAGAUUGCAACUAACAAUGUCAUAACCCACAAUAAUGGAAACAAAACAAACAUUUAUAAUUUAACAACAUUACCACCAACCACGCAAAAUAAAAUUGCAACUCAGCUACAGCUUUCACAAGUAGCUCACAAAUGUUGAAUAAACGCUAGCUUACAAUUACACUGAACUCAACACAGUGUGAGUUGAACUUGACCCUGAAUCAAGCCUAGCUUGAACUGCUAAUCUGAGCCUUGAUAAGGUUGAUAUUGUUGUUGGCAUCAGCUAACUUAGCACAACAAUCUGUGUCCUGCACUUUGUCCACAAAGAGCGAGCAGAUUAGAAUUCCUGCCUGAGCAAGAACAGCUACAAUUUUUUUAUUUAGCACAUCAAUCUCCGGACGCCGCUCCUUAAGAAUGCUUCUGAAGAAUCGCAGUCCCGCGUAGAGCGUUUGCAUUUGAUCUUUCACAGCAACUGGUAAGCUGGUACCACUGCAUAAUAGGUCCCACAUGCUACUUAUGAGAGAAUCAUUGAAGUCUUGCAUUAUACGCUUGUCCAUUUUCUUACCACGUGAGGAUGAUGAGGAUCUUGAAGGUUUAAGGACUUUGAUAUAGAUCUCACAGACUAGGGGAUUGACAGGCUGAAUCUUCUGUACUAGAUCAGAAAUCAAUGAGCACAUCUCAGGACUGCGCACUUGUUCAUCUUCUUGGUAAAACAAACACCUGCAAGAGAACAAUGCUGCAUACACAGCAGCAAUUCGACAGUGAGUCAACAGAUUUUCCAUUAUACCUUGCUCAACGCCUCGCGACUUGGCAAAGCGGGUUAAAUUUUUCAAGAAUAUUAGCUUGUCUUGGAGGGCCUCAAUUUGUGCGUGCAAAGCAGUGUUGUAACCAUCUGUGGACUCUAUUUCUAGUUCCUCACUGCAUUCAUCAUCUUCACUUCCUUCGAGGCCCUCAUUGUCACCACCUUCAAGUUUCAGGGCCUCAAUUUGUGCCUGCAAAGCAGUGUUGUCACCUUCUGUAGACUCAAAAUCCUCACUGCCUUCGAGUGACUCAUUCUCACUGCCUUGAUUCUCACUGCAUUCGAGGGACUUAUUCUCACCCAAUUGUGCAUGGAAAGCAGUUUUCUGACCUUUCUUGUACUCGAAAUACUGACCGCUGAGAAGAUCAAGUAGAUUCUGUAAAAUAGAGUCUAUGAAGCCCACAAGUUGGUCAUCACUCAUGCAAGAGUUGCUAUCCCAUGACCAGAAGUCCAACAAACCACUAUAAACUUCGAUGAUUGUUUGCAUAAAGGGCUUGAUGUCAUCCCACAAACUAAUGAUCACAGUUGCGAAACUCUUCUCCAGGCCUCUCAAAUGGGCAAACGAUAUUUGUGAGCUUUGACGAAUUGAGCGAGUGUCUUUCCCAUGCUUCUUUAGAGUAUCCUCAAUGCGAGACACAAAGUUUUGAAGGCUCACCUCCUUUACAUCAUUAAAUUCCAAACUGAUAUCCAUGUUUGCCAACUUAAUUCUGUAGGCUAACAUAAGAAAAGUUUUCAGAAAUUUCAAGUUCAGCUUGAGGGUCCUAACUUCCUGACACAAGCGAUGAGAAAAUCCAGUUUGGAUGUUCUUCUGGAGCACCUCCAGAUCACCUACUACUAUAGAAACCUCACGUAAUGUGCUUGCCAUCUCUGUAUUUCUUAACAGCGAUCUUCCUUUCACUCUCAAAAUUCUAUGCAGGUGGUAAGAGUAUCAGAACUAAAGAAACCUCGCCUCCAGAAAGCCAAGAAAGAAACAGCAAUGUCUAUUCAUUCAAGAAAAGCAGAAGAUUAAAAUUAAGAGUAGUACUAAUGAUUCAGACAAUGUCCCCAAUUUCAGCCAAUCAUCACAAACAAGUUUAGUUUUGUUACUUUAUGGGUAAAAAAUAAUCCAGAGGAUUAGGCACCCGCUCACCAAUGUUGACCUUCUAACUACUCCAUCCUGAGAUGAAGGCAUAAGUUUAGUUAUUUUGGGUUUAUUCAAUGAUCCAUGUCAGAAUUGCUGACAACCAGCCAAACAUCAUGAGUCAUGACAUUGAACCAAAAAACAAAGAAAAGAAAAAGGCGAAAAAACAAAGAGAGAUCGUGCAUCAAGACAGCAUAUUAUUAUUAACGAGAAUAUACUAUUAGAGAAAAGAUUACCCAACAGGCCAGAACAAAAGACAAUAUGUCUAAUGUCUUCAUCCCACCCACCUAAUCCAUUUCAAAAAAAAAAAAUUACUCCGUCCGUCCCACCCAUGUAAUCCAUUUCAAAAAAGCUAAUCUUACCUUUCUGAAUCAUGACACGAAAUAAAAACUUAAAAAAAAGAUGGAAAGAAAAAUACAGUAUGCCUUUAAUGAGAAUAAACUAUUGAAAAAACACCAGAGAAUACUUCUCAAAAGGACAAAAUGAAAAAAGUAGGACUGCAUUCUAUAUUUGCGAUCUCUCAGAUGUGCUGCAAGCCUGCAACUGGCAUAGACCAUAGAUGUAAAUAUUUUGUUGUUUUGGCUUAAUUGUUGAUGGAAAAAAGUCCACCAACCAGGAGUCAAGAGUCAAUCUACCACUGUUAAAUUUCAACUAUAGUCCUAUUUGGAAUUCAGUUUCGCAAUCUACCAGAAAAAUUCAGCUCAACUAGUUCUUAUGCAGUAAUUCGUAUUAAUAACAACAAAGAUCGAGUUUUUCAACAUGGGUUUUCAAGUAUUAAAUAUAAUCAGCUAGGCAGCAAGUUCCAGUCGAAUGAACAAAAGGAUAAAUUUGGCAACUCUAGAAAGUAUAUGUAUAUAUGUUUCGGUGCAAUUGUAGAUACAGAGGAAAUAAAAGAGCAAAACCUGAAGGUUUUGAAGAGAUACUCAGCUGCAGCUGCUGCUGCAGAGAAAUUUGAAACAAGAAAACACCGAGAAAAAGAAAGAAAAGAAGUAAAAUAGAAAAGAUUUUGUCUUUUGAUAUCUGAAGAAGAGUAUAUUGUAACUUUUAGAGACUAGAGUUUCCGCAAAAUCAACUGAGCACCAUAUUGUGGUUGGAGAGCGAUGAUUGUGUGAGGAGCAUGUGCAUACAAUGGAGAAAGCUCCAAAGAGAAGUGCAGUAAAAUCAUAGCCGGUGCCAUUUUUGCUUCUAACAUGGCAAAAUUUUGUCCAAGGCAAAUCCAGGGUCCCCAACCGAAUGGAAAAUAAGCAAGCUGCCCUUUUGUUGCCUUCAAAACUCCUUCACUAAAUCUCUCUGGAUUGAAUUAUUUUGCAUCCUCACCCCAUAAAGUUAGUGUCAUGUUGUAGAAUGACAGCAGGCAAUAAGAGCUGCACUCCAGCUGGUAAGAUGAGUUCCCUUAAUUUAGUUUCUUUGUUAGUCAUUCGAGAAAGCACCAACCCUGGUGGAUACAGGCUCAGAACCUCAUUCAAGAUCAUACUUAUCUGUCACAAGAUAGAAAGUUCUAAUAAAUAGGUCAAAAAUAUAGACUAGCAAUUCAAAAAAAUAAAAAUGAAAAUGAAAAUCUUGCAGGAGAAAUAAAUAGGUAUUGAAGGGAAGUUACUGAGGAGUAAUUUGUAAGUGUAUUGUAAAAGUGAAUCACCAGCAUAUGGUAGGGGUGCAGAUGAGUGAAACUCAAUCCAUCUACUAGAAAGCUCGUUGAGUCAAAGCUUGAAUUCAUAGAUUAAAGUGUCAAAAUGAAAAAAAAUGAUUAUUUAUAACAGAAUCUAUAAAAAUAUUAAAAUUACUCUUGUUUUAAAAAUUAAAAUAUGUGAAGUGAUCAAAAUAUAUAAACAUAAUAUGCAUAACAUUUUAAAUUUCUAUGAUUUUAUAUUUUACCAUAUAAUUUUUUUAUGGUUUAAUGUUUUAUCCUGCCUAGAUGUAUCAUAUGACUCCAUUCUUUUCAAUCGUCUUACAACCCCAGAAGAAAAUAAAGGGACGAGUUUUUACUCUACCAAAUUAUGCUACAAUGCGGUAGGAAGUUAUUCAGUUUUCACAAAAGUAGAGUUGAAAAAAAAUUACAAAAAAGAGAAAAGCUAGAUUGGAUUCAACGAAUUCUGGUUGAAAAUGGAACUAGAGGAGUUUAAUUCAUAAAAUAUUCUAAAAUAGAAAUUUUGCCAUUAAGAUUUUUUGCCCUUUUUCUUUCUUUAAUCUAGGGGUGGGAGAGGUUGAUAAGCAUAGUCUAUUCUUAUCAACCAUUUUCUUGAAAUUCUUCAUUAUAAAUACCAUCCAUUGACACCAAUAUGAAACGAUGACCGUUGCUUCUGAGACAGCCACAGCAAUAAUGAAGAAUGCUGUUCACAUGGAUAAGAAAUUAUGAAGAAUUGCACAGGUUGCAAUUUUAUUAUUUAUUUUAUUAUUAAUUUUUCUUAUUACUUGAUUUGAUAUGAAUUAAUUAUUAGAUUCUACUCACUUUUGACCAUUUACAUUUAUUUCAGGGAUUUGAUCGAAAACAUCGUAACAAGUGUCAAUUUAGCAGAAAGAACUCGAGUAGUAGGCAUUCAGAAACAAUUUUGGAACAAGAAGACGCGACCCUUUUUUAUAAUUUACGGAAGACAGUAUAAAAGAGGAAAAGGAACGAAUGGCUGGAACUUCUUUCUUCCUCUCGGUGGGAGCCGCCGCACGGUGGCCAGGCAUUAGAUAGAAGGAGGAAAUAGAGGAGAGAACUGGUAUGAGUACUUUAGAUUAGCCUUUCACUUUUCCUUUUUAGCUUUUGGUAGUGGAGACUUUUAGUGGUUGUUGCUUCCUUCGUGAAUGCAUUGGAUGAUUCUUUUUUCUUUGCUUUUUGCUCUUUGACUUUUCUUUGGUUAUUAGUAAUUUCUUUUCCUUCUGUGUAUGUCAAUUCCGAAUCCUUCUUCGUAUCACUACUUCGGACGAAUAGAGUUUUCCCAAUUUCAAAGGACAAUGCCCGCUACUUUCUCUUCAAUUUUAUAUGGGUCUCUCUUAUCAAGAAUGAACUAAAUCCCCUUUUUUAAUCAAGAAACAAUGGAGGCUUUGGUUCGUCUCAAAAUUAUAAGAUCAAUUUAAUUUUAUCUUUUUCUUUUAUUUAUUAGUAUUCACAUAUUCUCUGAUUAUAGUGAUUAUGAUUGUCAAAUUAAUUGAUUGUCUUAGAUCUGGAUAAUUAGUUGAUUGGGUAAUCUAUUGUCAAUUAAGGUGUUAAAUCCGUAAUUGUUUAAUUGCCUUGAAAUAGUGACAACUGGCAUGAUUAGAUUUGUGUCAGGGGAAUACGUAGGCUAAUCUAAAAUAACCCUGAUAGUGCGUUAUUUGAUUAGAAUAGGGCUCCUCUAAUACGUAAGGCAAUUAGAGAAUUAAAUCUUAUAGGCGUACCUAAAAUUAUUUCUUAAUUAGAGUAGUGAUUAACGGGUGUACCUUAAUCAUCGAUACAGUGAGGAAGAGUUGACUGUCAUCGCUUGUUUGACAGUUAUAACCUAUUUAUUAGUAAAUAAUUGGAAUUAUCUUUAUAUCGAUGAUCAAUUAGGUGAACCAUUGCUGAAGUUAUUUCUUGGCUAGACCCUUAAUUAUCACUCAUCUGAUUUUAGUAAAUUAUUAUUUAAUUUUUAGUAGCUUCUUAGAUUUUAUUUGAAUUUCUUUAAUUGUCAUCUUCUGCACAAAAACAUCCCCUUAUUACUGUGAAUUUGAAAAGAAACAGUUACUUCCAGUUCCUGUGGAUUCGACCCUGCUUACUACUAUUUACAAAAAUUAAUUUUAGUUGAGCAGGUUUUUAUUAUUGCACGGGCUGACAACUUGUCAACAUUCAGUCACUUCAAGUUCAGUUUUACUUUGAUUUCUAGUUUUAAGUCCAAGCUGAAUGUAGGACAAAAGAAAAAAAAUUAAACUGGACCAUAUGCCAAUAGUUGAAGGUAAUAAUAGUUUUCAGGAAAAUCUGCUUAACAUUUAUCAUCCUUGCUGUUUUGUGGAUAAGGGAUUUUGUUCUUAUUGUGCACUUCUGCAACAUUUAUCAGGUGAUGUUCCUCAUUUGUUGGAGGUUUGAUAACCUCAGUUUAUUAUUAUUGUUUUUUUUCCAACCAACAAUCAUUUGUUUGUUAUGGAUGCUACUUUGAUGGAGGCAUUUUGAGUUCUGAUUUAUGUUCAGACUUCUUCCUAGACCGUUUUGCCAUCUUUGUAAGGAAUAAUUAAUUUCAAUAAAUCCGUCUCAUUAAAUUACUCUGCCUCCUGGACAUUUAGAUUAGAUUGUCAUGGAGACUUAUGAAAGCAUUAAAAUUUGUGAUGAUAAAUUUGAUGACUAAAAUAAAUCUACAUUUGCUAUAUCUCAAGUUUGGAUGGGAAAGUAAUUUAAAGUUGCAGCAAGCAUCAUUUAGUUUGCUCUUACAUGUCCUCAAAAGAGAAUAUAUUAUAAUUUAGCUAUUUAUGUGACCAUUUUAGAACCAAAAUCAUAUCUCAUUUUGGAUGAUAGCCUGAGUUCUUGGUAAAGAAAAAAAAAAAAGAAAAGGAAAAAGUGAAUUGUACUUGCUUUUUGUAUCAUCAAAUGUCAAUACAUACAGUAUAAGCUGAAUUACAUUUGCCUCCCCAUGCUGUUCGGAUGGCAGCAAUUGGCAAACUGCAGUUUUGUCAUUUCAUUGAAGCCAAAAUCCGUACAAGUACAUUACACUACAAACUGCAGGGUUUUUAGCCUAAAGAUCACAGCUGCUUGAGUUCUCUCGCCUACCUCGGUCCAGAUAAAACUGAAGGCAACAAUGGGCUAGCAUCAUCAACAGCUUCCUGUUCUUGAUCAGCAGUUGCCACCAUAUUAACUACCGAUGAAUUUGUGAAGUCGAAGUUUAAAUUGGUUUCAGCUGCUACUACACCCUCCAAUGCUUUAACUACUAAUGACAUUGAAGGCCUCUUGGUGAAAUCACUCUGCAGACACCAUGCACCAAUCUUCAUCACAUCAAUAGCUUCCUCCAUGUGGGUCAGCAUAUCCUCACUUUUCUUGUCAACAAUGUCCUGAAGCCUCUCUUCUAGUGCUUUUCUCUUGAAAAGACUGAGCAGAUGGCUAUUCUCUCCAGUCAUGGACCAAUCCACAUUCUUCCUCCCACAGAUGAUCUCCAUGAUGACAACGCCAAAGCUGUAAACAUCAACUUUUUCUGUCAUACCUGCAGAGUGCAGCCAUUCGGGAGCCAAGUAACCCGGCGUUCCUCUCAUCCUUGUAACAACUCUACUUUGAUCCUUUUCAAGAAGCUUUGACAAUCCAAAAUCAGAAACUUUUGCAUUGAAAUUUUGAUCUAAGAGAACGUUUUGGGGUUUUACAUCAAAGUGGAUUAUUUUCUGACAGCAUUCUUCAUGGAGAUAAGCUAAUCCCUUAGCAAUGUCCAAGAUGAUUUUUCUUCUUGUAUGCCAUGGAAGAGGAGAUUUUUCUGUUCCACCAAAUAUCCAGGUAUCAAGAGAUCCAUUAGCCAUGUAUUCAUAAACCAGCAGCCUAUGUGACUUUUCAGAGCAAUAUCCAACAAGUUUCACCAAAUUAAUAUGGUGGAUGCUACCUAUUGUGUUUGCUUCCACUAAAAAUGAAUACUUCACCUGGCCAAAACCAUCAAGGUAUUUAACCGCUAUUUUGGUGCCAUUGUCAAGUAUUCCUUCGUAGACAGAACCAAAUCCUCCUUGCCCAAGUUUCCUGCUGAAAUUUUCUGUCAUUUUUUUCAACAUCUCAUACGAGUAUCUUGUAGGCAUUCCUGGUAAGUGGUCAAGCAAAUCCAUUUCGAUUUCCUUCAGUUCUUUUAAUCUUUUCCUGAAAAGAAAGAGGCAACACCCAACAACGCAAAGCGAAGCAGAAAAAGCUCCUAGAGUCAAUACCAACAUAACUUUGCUGUGCCUUGAAUUCUUGACGCUAGAAACCUUAACAAACAGGGUUGUGUUGUGAACUGAUACUGCGUGAUUCUCGUUAUUGAUGAUAGAGAAUACUUCAUUCAGUAAUAAACAACCUCCUUCUGAAGUACCAUUGCCAUCGUAUGCAAAUAGAGCUGCUUUGCAUGAACAGUUGUUCAGGCAGCUAUUGAUAGGGUGUAAUUUUAUCAUUUAUUUUAUUAUUAAUUUUCCCUAUUACCUGACCCGAUGUGGAUUAAUUGCUGGAUUCUACUCAUUUUUAGUGUUUGGCAUAUAUUUCAGGGAGUAGAACGAAAAUAUGAUAACAAGUGCCAAUUUGAUAGAAAAGAAGUCUAAGGCACAGAGCUUAUCCCAGGGGCAUUGUUGGCAAAGGCAAACUUGUGCCCAUUUUAGUAAUUGCCGAAGACAAAAGCAUUAAAAAGAGGAACGAAGGGCUGAAGUCGAGGGUCUUCUUCUUCCUCUCCGGAAGGGGAGCCGCCGCACAGCAGGGAGCUGCUUCCUUUCCCUUGGGGGAGCCGCCGCACAAGGCAAGAGCAGCAGAGGACUGAAGACGGCUGUGCUUUAUUGUUUUGACCGGCCAAAAAUUGACAGGUUGUCGAAGCCUGUGCAAUAAUAGAACCUGCUCAAACUAAAAGUGAUUUCUGUAGAUAGUGGUAAGCAGGGUCGAAUCCACAGGGACUGGGAGCAAUUGUUCCUUUUCAAAUUCACAGUGACAAAGGGGGUGUUUUUAUCUCAGGGGUGACAAUUUAAGCAAUCCAACUAAAAGUAAAAUAAUAAAAAUAAAAUAGCCAACUAGAAAUUAAAUAACAAUUUACUAAAAUCAAAGGAUCUAGCCAAGGAAUAACUUCAGCAAUGGUUCACCUAAUUGAUCAUCGAUAAACAAAGGCAAUCCCAAUUAUUUACUAAUAAAUAGGUUAUAACUGCCAAACAAGCGAUGACAGUCAACCCCUCCUUACUGUGUCGAUGAUUAAGGUACGCCCGUUAAUCACUGCUCUAAUUGAGAAAUAAUCCUAGGUACGCCCGUAGAAUUUAAUUCCCCAAUUGCCUUACGUAUUAGAGGAGCCCUAUUCUAACCAAAUAACGCACUACCAGGGUUAUUUUAGAUUAGCCCGCGUAUUCCCCUGACACAAAUCCAAUCAUGCCAGUUAUCACUAUUUUGAGACAAUUAAACAAUUACGGAUUUAACACCUCAAUUGAUAAUAGAUUAUUAAUUUAACUAAUUAUCCGGAUCCAAGACAAUCAAUUAAUUAAACAACCAUAAGCACUGCAAUCAGGGAAUAUGCAAAUACUAAUAAAUAAAGAAAAAGAUAAAAUUAAAUCGAUCUCACAAUUUUUAGGCGACCCAAAGCAUCCGUUGCUCCUUAACUAGAAAAAGGGAUUUAGCUCAUUAUUGAUGAGGAAAACCCAUGCGAAAUCGAUGAACAAAAUCCACGCAAGAGUGAAGCAAGAAUCGCGGCCAUUGUCAGGGAGCAAUACUACUCAGAGCCACGACGGAAAAGUCAAAGAGCACAAAGCAAAGAAAAAGGAAUAGUCCAAUACUUUUCUUUUGCUCCUGACAUUCACGAAGGAAGAAAACAACUACUAAGAGUCUUUACUACAACCGAAGAAGAAAAGUCAAAAGACUAAGAGCUAACUACUGAAGAUUGGGUUUCCCUCUGUACCAUUCGUUCCUCUCUAAUCAUCUCUAAGGCCUUCCUGUGCGGCGGCCCCUUGCGGAGAGGACCUCCUGUGCGGCGCUCCCCCUCGGGAGAGGAAGAAGAAGACCCCUGCCUUCAGCCCUUCGUUGCUCCUUUUAAUGCUUUUGUCUUCGGCAAUUACUAAAAUGGGCAUAAGCUUGCCUUUGCCAACAAUGCCCCUGGGGUGAGCUCUGUGCCUUAGAAUCCUUUUUUGUCAAAUUAGCACUUGUUAUCAUAUUUUCGUUCUACUCCCUGGAAUAUAUGCAAAACACUAAAAAUGAGUAGAAUCCAGCAAUUAAUCCACAUCGGGUCAGGUAAUAGGGAAAAUUAAUAAUAAAAUAAAUGAUAAAAUUACACCCUAUCAAUUCCCCCCACAUCUAAACCAUGCUUGUCCUCAAGCAUAAGAAAAGUACACAGACACCAAAAUUUGAUAAUGGUCAUCGCUCUAUCCAACAAAUUGCCAAGGUACCAAGAAAAAUAAUAAUCAAGCAUCAAUGGUCAAGUCCAAAAAACAUCACUCCGGUUAGUUUCUAAACCACAAAUUUCUCCAAUUUCAGGUUAACUAAUCUAAGAAAAAGGAAUGACGCAUAACAUUUAUCAGCAAAUGGUCCAGCUAUUAACCAAAAUCUCAACAUUAAAUCCAUAAUUCGGCAAGCUGACUUUUAUUAUACACUAACACAACCUUCACUUUUUUUUCACAUUUUUUUCUACUUUUCUUUUUUUUUUCUUUUUUUUUUUGAAUAGUAACAAAAGACUUAGUCGCUAGCCAUUAGAGCCUUUUGACGCGAACUCCAACAUUGGCCAGAUGAAGAAGCCCGGUUACUCAGCUUCUAUCGCCACGUGACCACGGACUCAUAGCAAUUACUACUUUUUGACGCGAGAAUCGACACUUUUAGGUGCAGAUCCCCGGUUACUCAGUAGUAACUAAUAGCGGAGUACAGUCAAGUUUAUGCAUAGCUAAAAAUCACAAAAACUCAAUAUAACACAAGAACCAAAAGAAAACUUGCAUCAGCUAGCCUCAUUUUCAAACAUGGAGAACUAAAGUUAAUAACCGGACCAAUUCACUAAAAAUGCCAACAAUCAUUCCCUAUGCCUAAGAAAGUUAAUCAAAAAUUAUAAGAGUAAAACAAUUAUUGAUAUUCACCAAAGAGAUGUUCUUGAAUUCAACCACAUUAACUUGAUACCCUUUUAUUAUUAAAAUUGGCAAUAGUAGAAACAGAGACAAUAAUCCAACAUCAAACCUUGGCAUGCACUUACGAGCCAAUCACUAAAAAGAAAAAAAAAAUGAACGAGAGGUGGACAAAUAACAAACUAAAAAUAAAGAACUAGUAUAGCUGUCCCCCCCCCACACCUAAAUCCUACAUUGUCCUCAAUGGAGGGAUUAAAGCAAUUAAAACGAAGAGGGCAACGAAACUUCCCUCACGAGUGGCGAAAGGAUAGGCGGGAAUGGGGCACGGAAACUGAUGUGAUAGAAGUACGCGGCCAAGGUCUGAGAUAUCUCAACUCAAUUCAACCAGCAAAUGCAAAACUCUGUCCACCCAAAAUCUCAACAAAGCCUCCAAGUAGACAGUUAAUUUCUCAACUCAAAAGCAGCAAUUCCAGUAAUAGCAGUAUAGAAGUUGGAGAAUAACCACACAAUCACAAUCAGGUAGCCAACUAAUUGAAAAUAACAAAUGCUAAUCAAAAUACCCCCAACUAGUACCACUGGUGCAAAACGUAGUCCACAAUCAAUGAAAUUGCUAUAGCAGAGUAGAGCAGUAGUAAAGCAAUAGCCCCAAGUGUUAAUCUAAUCACAAGAAAGAUUCUAAACCUCUAAAGAAGAGCAACAGGCGACUGGAAUUCCAAUGAAUAGAGCAAGAAGAGGAACCGUAGGUGAAAACCCAGUCCACCGAAGUCAAUAAACAAACCCAGGAAAUAAAUAAGUCCUCAAAUGAGUCAACAAAUUGCACACAUGAUCAGACCAAAAUCACAGACACUGUUCCUCCAAAUCAGCAAUAUAAACCAACAUCCAGAAUGUCCUCAAAAACUCGAUUAAAAAACUACUAAUGCCAACAAGGAAUGCAGUUGCCGAAUUAAGUCAACCAAAAUUCCAACAAGCACAACACUGGCCGAGAUUCUUCCCAAAAUAUCACAGACAAUUGUUAAAAUUCCAGCCCACCCAAGAACUUCAAUAAUUCCCCCCAAAAGUUUGAACAAAUGCUCCCAGCAGUGACUCCGUAGCAAGAGCCCAAUGGGUCAACAAUUUAAGCGAUAGUAAUGCAGAAAUGCAACAAGAGUAACACAGGCACAAGCCCUUGGCAGACAAUGAGGUAUCCAACCAAAUAGAGUGAACAAAUUCAAGGGAGAAUACUGCAACCAGUGCCACCGGUACGAAUCGCAAACCAAGAGCAAUGAGAUUGCAAUAACCAAGUAGAGCAGGAGGCCAAGUAACGCCCACCCAUGACCCCUAAAUAAUUAGUCAAAGCCAGAAACAAUGCAGUCCAAAAUCUCAACAAUUGCACCAAAGAAAGUAUCACAAGAAAAUGCCAGGCAGAGCAUCAACAACACCUCCCAAGAAUUCUAUGAAAACACUAACAACGGAGCACCCAACCUAAUGGGCACUACAAUUUCUCCAGUGAGCAGUUAAGUUCAAUCAUAAUGGCAGUGAGACCCCAAAACCUGGACUUCAAUUUAAUCAACUAACAAUGGAGCCACGGGCUUGUCAACUGAGUUUAACCAUUAAACCCCAGAAAAUUUUUCUCCCAACAAACAGGUAAGAGUUGAAGGGGUUGAGUACCUCCACUGUGUGAGAAAGAGGGAGACGCGAGGGAGAUGGGGGUGAGUUGGUCGUGGCGGACAGAGAGGGAAUAGUGCGAACAGGGGCAGAGGAGGAAGAGCUCGCACGAGGGAGGUGGAAGUGGAGGUUGCGCAAGCUGUUGACGGCGGCCGUGGGUCGCGCGGCGUGCUGCUGGCGGCGAGCAGAGAAAGGUGGAGCUGGAGCCGAGGUGGGGAAGAGCUGGCAGUGUGGGCGGUGCGUGUGACGGCAGGCUGCGGCAGUCGCGGCUAGCUUGGGCUUGGACUUCGUGAGCUGAUGGUGGUAGCUGUGGGCGGCGGCAGACCAGAGAUUCGGUCGAACAAGAGAGGGAACAAGGGAGAAGAAAGAAAGAAGAAGAAAGGAAGAAAGAAAGAAAGAAAAAGAAAGAAAAGAAGAAAAAGAAAAAUUUUUUUUUCUACGGAAAUCAUUUUUUUUUUAUUUUUAUUUUUUUUUUUUUUUUGAAUUUUGGAAACUAAAGCUACGUUGAUAAGAAAAUUUUUUUUUUUUUUUUUUGAAUCCUUACCUUUCCCGCGAACGUGACGCGGGCACGUCAUGAGGGCAAGAGAGCUCUCAGAAGUUUCAGAAUUUCUGAUCGUGAGCUUCCUGCACGUCCCCACGCGGGCACGUCAAGAGGGCAGGAGAGCUCCCAGAAGUUUCAGAAAUUUCUGAUCGUGAGCUCCCUGCACAUCACCACGCGGGCGCGUCAUGACUGAAGGGCACCUAUAAAUCAGCAAAAACGAAAAUUAACACCCAAAAUCAGUCAAAUUCAAGGAAAGCAGAUUUAAACUAUGACACGAAACCAAUCAAGCAAUUAAAAGAAACAAUUGGGUUGCCUCCCAAUGAGCGCCUUUCUUUAAUGUCUUUGGCUAGACAUGCUAUGCUUGUUCACGGGGGAUAAAAUCUUGUGGCUCGUUUCAAUGUUUCAUCUUCAAUAUGAUCCUGGUAACCCUCAUAGAUGGAGUAAUCUUUGAGCACACGAGUUACGGGCUUCCAUGGACUAGUAAAUGGCGCUAAACAAGUCAACAAUGAUCUGCAUUCUCCACUCACUCCUCCACCACACGCAUUCAUCGGUUCAAGAUAUUUUUCCAUUGCCACUCUUAACUUAUUCCUAUCAUGAAAUUUCAAAUUUUCUGGUAUAAUAAAAUCAAUUUCAGUAACAGGAAUUGAAGAAGAGGAAUUAGGAAAAUAUUGAUUAAGGAGUGGAGGAGAUGUCACCGCAUUUGAAAAUUGUUCACUGGAUUCAUUCACUUGAAUAAUUUGAUGUUGGAGUCUCAUGUCUUCCACUUCAACUGUAUCUUUGGAUCCUCCUUCUUGAGACUCUUGCAGUUCCAUAUCACUUGUCAGGAUAAUUGCACUCUCACCUUUUUUAGAGUCAUUGAUGGUCUGUGAGGGCAAGUCUGACAUGAAUGACGAUUGUUGAGACUCUUGCAGCUGAAAACUCAUUGGCCCCUCUUCAUAAUUAACGUUAGAGUUAUCCCACCAUCCUUGAUCAUACCGGUUUGAAUAAGGGUCAUACCACGUUUGAGAUCGAGGUGAAGAAUCUCCAAAUUUUUUUUUUGAGAUAGUCACUCAGGUAGUCUUGAUAUUCGGGGCACAUACCGGUUGAAUGAUCCCUGGCAUAACAAAUUUCACAGGUUGCAGCAGCCAUUCUUUCUCUAACAGAGUUUAGUGCCUCUGCAUAUGCAGACCUCACAAAAAAACUAGCCUCGUUGCCUUCCCCGGAAAUAAAAUCCAGUAUAUCACCAAAAUAAGGAGUGUAAGAAGCCAUAAACUAAAUAAAAAAAUGUAAACAAGAUGAAUUGAAAAAGAAACAAAUAACUAGCGCCAGUCCCCGGCAGCGGCGCCAAAAAAUUGACAGGUUGUCGAAGCCUGUGCAAUAAUAAAACCUGCUCAAACUAAAAGUGAUUUCUGUAGAUAGCAGUAAGCAGGGUCGAAUCCACAGGGACUGGGAGUACUUAUUUCUUUUCAAGUUCACAGUGACAAGGAGGUGUUUUUAUGCAGAAGAUGGCAAACAAAGAAAAUCUAAGAAGCUACUAAAAAUUAAAUAACAAUCUACUAAAAUCAAAUGAGUGAUAAUUAAGGAUCUAGCCAAGAAAUAAUUUCAGCAAUGGUUCACCUAAUUGAUCAUCGAUAAGCAAAGGCAAUUCCAAUUAUUUACUAAUAAAUAGGUUAUAACUGCCAAACAAGCGAUGACAGUCAACCCCUCCUUACUGUGUCGAUGAUUAAGGUACGCCCGUUAAUCACUGCUCUAAUUGAGAAAUAAUCCUAGGUACGCCCAUAGAAUUUAAUUCCCCAAUUGCCUUACGUAUUAGAGGAGACCUAUUCUAAUCAAAUAACGCACUACCAGGGUUAUUUUAGAUUAGCCCGCGUAUUCCCCUGACACAAACCUAAUCAUGCCAGUUGCCACUAUUUUAGAGCAAUUAAACAAUUACGGAUUUAAUGCCCUAAUUGACAAUAGAUUAUCCAAUCAACUAAUUAUCUGGAUCCAAGACAAUCAAUUAAUUAAAUAACCAUAAGCAUAACAACCAAGAAAUAUGCGGAUACCAAUAAAUAAAAGGAAAAGAUUAAAUUAAAACAAUCUCAUAAUUUUUAAGCGAACCAAAACCUUCGUUGCUCCUUGACCAGAGAAAAUGGCUUUAGCUCAUUGUUGAUGGGAAAACCCCAUACAAAAUUGCAAAGGAAAUCGUGGCCAUCGUCCGGCUAAAUUUGGAAAAUCCAAUUCGUCCGAAUACUGAAUACAUAGAAAAGCUACAAAAGGCCAUUCACGGCUUCCACUCCGUUCCACGCACAAAGGAAAAGAAAAACUACUAAAAGUAACUAAAGAAGGAAAAAGUCAAAGCCAAGGAUGGCUAAGCUACUGACAUUCGUAUGUUUCUUAAGCCAAAGAGAAUAAAUCCAAGGGAAAAGUCAACAAUUGCGGCUAAGAAAAACUAGAGACCAAAAGCUCUUCCUGUUGUGCGGCGGCUCCCCUUCCGGAGAGGAAGAAGAAGCUCCCUUUUUUCCUGCGCAAUUUUCCUUUAUAAAGUAGUGCCCCUUGCGAC